rnacentral:lncRNA from 1 species
UCUGCUUGGUAACGGAUCUUAGAAUUGUUUUUGUUAGCCCCUUAACGUCGAAAUCCUCAGAGACACAAGUCCAUGCCUUGAGAUCAAAAUGAUCCCGCACUUGCUUAUCAUUGUAGACAAGCUGAGCAAGAGUAGUUUUGCCCAGCCCGCCCAUACCUAUAAUAGGAAUAACUGCGAAUCCACCAUCGUUGCUUAAAUCAUCCCUCAACAGCAGUUCAACAACAUCCUUCUUUUCUGUUUCCCUGCCAUAUACUUUGGCUUCAGUCACUAAAGAGGUUGUCUCUAGCCUUUGACUGGCUUUUUUGGACCCUCCAGCUGAACUUUCUUUCAAAUCUAGCAAGUUUUUCUGUGUCACAAUUUCUUGAAAUCUGCUGUUGAUCUCUUUGAUUUUGGACAUCAAGCCAUAAUCGAACUGAAUCGAUUGUGGAGUAAAAGUGGUGCAGCAAGUAGGAAUGAGCUUCCGAAACUUACUUGUUCUUGUACGACUGCUACUGGGUUGAUCAUGAGCAGCAGCUGGUUCUCCAUUCCCAAGCAGCAACCUCCUCCGGAAAGCCUCAGUUUGAAACUCAUCCAACAAGUCUUCAACAUCGUAAGCCAAGUUCUGAAGCUUGCCAAGCCACUUCUUCACAAACUGAUUAGUCGUCUUCUUCUCCUCAGCAUCAUCAAGCACCGCCUUGAUCAUCUCCAACAUAUUCUCCCACUUCAUUAGAUCGUCUUGGAUCUUCUCUUGGCGUGCAAAAAACAGAAUCCCCUCUGAAGCUAACUUAUUGACCAGCAAAUCAACGGACGCCGUAAGGAUUGCCUCUCCGAUGAUCGACAUUUUUUUUUCUUUUUUUGGGCAAAGGAAGAAAGGAGCAGAAUUAUGGGUUAUGGAAAGCAGAAUGAGAAUAUUGAACGGGUGAGAAAAUGGAUAAUUAAGCGGAAUGAGUUUGUGAUUGUGAAGGGUCUGGUUCAGCAAGCUUAGUAGAAAUCACGCGUUUGUACUUUAUUGACCAAUGACUAAAUAAUUUGGCAAUGCACCCACCACCACCAGUUGGCGAGCAAAAUGAAAAAGUUUAAUAAGUGCAGGGGUCGAGCAAAAUACGACGUAAAAUGUGGCAAGUCUCCCCACUUGUUGUUCCUUGCAGCUAAGAAAAGAAAAAACAGAGCCCACCACCCAUUAAUAAUUUAGCAAUUCACCAAUCAUCACAAAAUUCCAUUAGAUAUUCGUCGAUCAAGUAGUUAAGUAUUUUUGCUAGAAUGAAUGCAACCAAGAUUCUAUGGGAUAUGUAUGAAGAUGAUGUAAUAAAGUGCUUUUGAUAUAUUCCCCUAGUCGGUUUACUUCACUAACCAUUAACGAGCAAAUCCUCCCAAUGACCCUCAAUACUCUUGUGCACAAUUAAAAUAAUUUCAAUUAUAUAUAUAUAUAAAUAAAAAAACUCUCAAAUAUAUUAUUUGAUAAUCACCAAAAAAAAAAAAAUUCACCCCAAUAAAUCACAUUACAGUCUAUGUUGCAAGUGUUUUUAGGACUAAUUCAAAGAGAAAAUGCGAAGGACAUGUAAUUGAAUUUGGGACACUGAAUAUAUUCCCAAUUACCCUUUAGUGUAAAUAGUUCCACUUCAGAUAUAUAUAAUGAUGAUGAAAUUUUGUUUUCUCAUAGCAAUCAUUCUAGUGUUUUACAAUGAGUAAUUGAUUCAAUAUUAACACAACACUAUUUUAACAUGUGACAUAUUCUAUCAUAGUGUGCUUCAACUCAGACUUCUAAGUUUCCAUUUUAGAACAAGUUAAAACAGUUCCAACUCAAAAUCAGUAGUGCGCAAUUGGGUUGUUAUAAAUAUUUCUAAAUUUUAGUCUAAUUUGAAUUAUUUAAUUGUGUUUGUACAAACUAGCUUUAUCACUUCUUUUAUAUUGAUACCCUUAAAUUUCAACCUUAUUUUAUGUUGAUGCACAAUCUAACUUAACAAAAAUAAUAUUCAAAUUGUCACAAUUUUUUUUUUUAAAAAAAAUAUACAAAGUUAAUUUUUCUUCUUCUUUACUCUAGGAUCCAGCUCCAUACCCCUCUUUUUUGUCGUUAUGCUACUCAGCCGUUAGAUUUUAAUUACGUUAAUCUAAUGGUUGGGAUUUGCAAAUGAAUAAUGAAGUGGUGUUCGGCUACUAUCCGAGGCCAUUGCAUCUAAUUGGUUUUGUGAUUUUUCACUUUCUUCCCUGUAACACUUGACUAGUUCUGGAAAUUGCUUUUUGGCAUGCUAAUUGUUGUGAAAAUUUUAAUAUACUCGCAAGCGCACGAAUCUAGAAAUAAAAUAGUGGUAACGAGGUCGAUCCCACAGGGAUUGGCACCCAUCACGCCUUUAGUUGUCGUGAAUAAAUCGAAAAUCAAAUUGAACUGGUUUUUACCGGGUAGCAACAAUCGUGACGUUUUGAGAUUAUAAUAUAUGACAACACUGAUUAGUGUUGUCUCCCAUGUGAAUUGAGACAAAAAUGAUUUUCCCAAUUGCGCUUUCAUUUGAACAAUUCCACUGUAGAUUUAUAAAAUAAUCACGAAAUUGUGUUUUAUAAUAAGUUACGAGUAAUUGGUUCAAUAUUAAUACAAAACUACUUUAAGUAACACGUGGCAUAUUCUAAUUCUAGCAAAGUUUCCAACUAAGAUUCCCAAAUCAAAAGAAUUUCAAUCUCCAGAACAUUCUACAAAAUGUUUCUUCUAGCCUCUACGUUGUGCUAGAAUUUUCUCUUGAGUUUUUUAGCAAAGACUUCUAAAGAACUAUCCAGAUAUCGAGCUAUAAUCCAGUCAAAGUGUAUAUAUUUCUCUAAUUCACCUCCCUCCAUUUCACCAGAAAACCAACAAACACUUAGCUUCAAACAAACACUUUCAAAUAGCUAGCUAGCUACCCAGAUGGCAAAAUCAAGAAUUCUUGCAAUGACAAUGUUGUUUCUUGUUGUGGCGGCAACAUUGAUGAACAUGGCAUCACAAGCAAAUGCUCUGAUGCCGUACACACGAUCACCUUUCUUUGACAUGAUGUUCCGAAUGACGAAAGAGCCUUUCAGGGUUCUUGAACAAACCCCUUUAACAAUCGCAAAAGGAGCUGAUCAUCAUCAAACUCUAGCCCUGGCGAGAGCAGACUAGAAGGAGAGUGGAUGGAGCCUUUACUUUCUAUUAUAUUUGUAAAGCGUGCCACAACACACGUGAUCACACUCGACAUUCUCGGAAUUAAGAAAGAUGAUGUGAAGAUUGAAGUUGAAUAGAACAGGGUAUUGAGAGUAAGUGGGCAGAGGAAGGCUGAUGAUUAUUAUAAGGAGAGGGUUGAAGGAGAGAAAUGGCACAGAGCUAAGAGAGCAUUUGGCAAGUUUUGGAGGCAGUUUAGGAUGCCAAUGAGUGCUUGACUUGGAUCAUAUUAAGGCUCACUGAGUGCCAAAGCUUGCUGAGGAGAUGAAGAGGCAGCCGAAGGCUAUUAACAUUGAUGAAGAGUCUGGUAAUUCUUCCAAUGAAGAUAUUAAGGCUACCAAGGCUCAAAUGUAAUUGAUUAAAGAAAGAAGUGAUUGCUUUGCUUGAUGUGCUAUUUGUUUAUGAUCUUUUUUUGGUUUUGUUGUGAGAUGUUUCUCUAUGGACGCUUUGUUUAAUGUAUUUUGAUGGGUUUUUUAGGAUGGCUUGUAUGUAUUGACAACAAUAAAGUGCUUUUUAUAAAUCCUAGUCCUACAACACUAAAAGAAAUUAAUACUCUUGGUUUAUAAUUAAUAAAAAUAUAUAUUUUUUUUAAAAGUCUUUUUCUUUGGCAUAUAGUAUGCGUUUUGAGGGGAAAAAAAUUUAUCCCACUCCUAAUUCGUCCUCUUCUGUGAUAUUAAUGUGUUAACACGAAGAUUCAUUGUAAUUGCAACAAUUUUGACGAAUCCAAACGUUCAAUAACUGUUAAAUUGUAUUUAUAAAUACUAAUAGCGAAGGUACAGAAACGAUUAAUUCAAGAAGUUGCUUAAAGUGCAUUAAAUUAGGGAGUAUAAAUAAUUGUGUGAUACAGUCCAGCCUUCAUCUGCUUAUAAUUAGCAACCAAAAACCACUUUGCAACACCAUUAAAAAAACAUUUUAACAUUAUUGCUGAGGGAAGAGGCAACUUAGGCUUAUUAACUCGUAUUAUUAAUGCUGAUGACGCAGCUGGUAAUCCUUUUGGUGAAUAUAUUAAGGCAGCUGAAGCUUAAAAUUAAUUAAGCCCACUAAAGCUUAAAACUAAUUCUUCUAGUGACGAUGCUUUGCUUAGUUCGCUUUUUGUUUUUAAUUUUUUUGGGGCUAACGUUUUGCUUAUUUUGCUUUUAAAAUUCUAUUGGCGUUGCUGUGGAAUAUUGUUUCUCCUUCGAUUUUCUGUUUUUGUUGUUAUCGGAUUUGAUGAUGGUUUAUAUGUACGAAGAUUAUGUAAUAAAGUGCUUUUGUAACAAUAUAUAUAUAUAUAUAUAUAUAGAUGUUUCAACAGCUAAGAAAGAGAUAGCCAUUAUACAUUACACAUUUGUACUCAAUAAGAAAUCAAUUCAUUAAUAUAGCCAUUAAUACGCCUGGUUUAUUGUUAAUGAAAAUUAAAAAAGAAAAAAAAAUCUUUUUCUUUGGCCUUUAGUAUGCAUUUUAAGAGGAAAAAAAAUUUAUCCCACUUCAAUUCAUGAAGAUAUUUUCAUUUCUGUCAUAUUGAUGUGUUAAUAUGAAGAUCCAUUGCAGUUGGUGAAUUCAAAUAUUCAGUAACUGAUGAAAUUAUAUUUAUAAAUUCAUACUAAUAACGAUUGAAGAUUAUAAUUAAUUUUUUAAUAUGGUCCAGCCCUCGUGUGUUUAAUUAGCUCUCAAAAACCACUAAGGUAAAGGCAAAAUCAUGAUAAAUUGUGGUCGGUUUAAUUUACUUGAUCAAUUGAUAUUGGGUAGCAUUGUUCUUAUACAAACACAAUAAAAGAAGAACACUAACGUACUAAUUAAUUACAAAUAAGAACAUUAACAAUUUUGCCGAAGUCUGAUGAAGAGAAAUAUUACACAUAUGUAACCGUACAACUAAAUAAAAGAAACUGAAGUUUAUUUCAACAGCUAAGAAUGAGAUACGCAUAAGAAAUUAAUCUAUUAAUUAAUUAAUUAAUUCAUACAAUUUUCAACUGAGAUUUGAAUUUUAAAAUUACAUACACAAACACACCUGAUUUAAAAGAAAAAAAUUUUAAUAAUAAAAUAUUUUACGUAUGUAACCAUACCGCGGAAAGAACAAAUGUAAGAAACUGAAGUUUCAACAGUUGAGAAUGAGAUAGGCAUAAGAAAUUAAUUAAUUAAUUAAUAGAGUCCUCCUCCUUUGCUAAAUAAUGCGAGCCCAUUGUUCCUUUUAUUUCGAAAACCCAUUAAUCAUCAACACAUACACGCCCAAUUUUAAAAAAAAAAAAUAAUAAUAAUAAAAUAUUUAAGUCGUCCUCUGUUCAAUAAUCAAAAACCCAUUUAAAAUCUAUUUUAACUUUAGGUAUAUGGGUUAACAAGUCCCAAUAUUGUCCUCCAUCUUUUCUGCACUUCUCUGCUAUCAACGGACAUCCCCCGAUGUAUAAUUGCAAAAGUGAGGAAGGCAGGCCCUUCUCCGGAAAGUAUUUGAGCUUGGGACAAUCCUCGAGUUCCAAGUGAGUGAGGUUUUGAAGAUCAACAAUUGAAGAAGAUAGGCGUUCCAGAUUUGGAAAAUUACCAAUCAUCAGGGAUGCUAGACAGGCAGGAAGAGGAAGCGUGGUCCUCAAUCUUAUGUCCUCCGGUGGGAAUGACACCAUGUCGUCAUCGCAUCCGCUGAUUGUAAGUUGUCGCAGAGAGGAGAAUCUGUGGAAUCCCCGACCCCACUCAAUCGUUGACUUCCAAAUCUUCUUAUUAUCAAUAAUCUCCAGCCUAUGAAGGUUGGUGGGAAGGCCAUCAUCUUCUUCAAGGCUUGGAAGCUCACCUCCUUCUCCUAUUGUUAAUUGUUGAAGAGAGGUCAGAUUGUGCAAUCCCUUGGGUAAGACCUGUAGUCUCUUACAAUAAGAUAUCUCUAGCCUCGUGAGUUUCGCACAAGGCAAUCCCCCUUGGGGAAAGGACACCAGAUUUUCACAUUCCCAUAUCCCUAUCUCUUGAAGCUGGCGGAGAUUAUGUAAACCACUCGGUAAAAUUUUCAGAUUUUCACACUCAGAAAUACUGAUUGUUUCAAGAGAUGUGUUGUUGUCCAACCUUUCUGCUAUUGACUCCAGCUCUGAACAACUCCAAACAUCAAGGGACUUAAGAGACGGAGGUAGAUUGCCAACUUCAAGGGACUCAAGCGUGGCAGGUAACUCGUUUUUUGAAAAUAUACACGUCAGUGACGGACACCUGCUAAUAUGCAAGCCCUCGAGAAGAGAUGAGGUGUACCUUCUGCUGCUGCUGCUGCUCUGGAUGCCCUCUUCCACCGUCAAAGUCCUUAUAUUAUCGCAAUGGCGGAUCUCCAACCACUUAAGGCUCGGUGGUAGUUGGACUCCAGCAAUAUAUGUCAACGAAUUGCAAAUCCAAAUCUCCAAGAUCUCGAGAGAUGAAUUGGUGUCGCACAUCCAUGCCUCUGGUAACGAUUUCAGUGCAUCACAUUCUCUAAUCUCAAUUUUCUUCAACUUGGAAGGCAGAGCAACCUCAGGAAAGGAAACAAGGGAACUGCAGCCGUAGAUUUCUAUCUCUCUCAAGGAGCUGAGGCUGAGAGGUGAUUGUGGCAGCUUCACAAGGUCUUGGCAAUCUCUCAAAUCUAUAUAUUCGAGUAUGCACGACAACUGGCAGAGCUGCUGUUGUUGGUCUUUCUCUUCCUCCGCCACCAAGGAUUGAAGUUUGGGACAACUUGUAAUCGUCAGUCUUUUGAGAGAGCAAAUGUCUUGCAGCAAUUCGUUAUGACUCUUCCAUAUAUAUGUCUGCUCUUUCAUAUCAUUUAUCUCCAAUUCUUCCAAUUUUGGUAUUCGCGGCUUCAAUGGCCCUGCGAGAAACACUUGAUUUGAUGUAUCUCUACAAACUACUGAAUUCUGCGAUCCGAGAUGACCAGUUGCACUUUCCCACACAAUCUUUUUGCAUCCACCAAUUAUGAAUUUGCAAAGAGAUGGAAGACUCGAAACUGAAACUAACAAUUCUUCACAUCCUUCAAUAACAAGCAUCUCCAAUGCAGGAAGGUGCUCUGGAAAUGUUCCUUUCAGUUUAGAACAUCUUAAAAUGUGAAGCUCUCUCAAUUUAGGAAACCGUUCAACUCCCUGACUGAAUCCAUGAGGAAUCCAGUCUUCCCAUCCUUGCAUGUCUUCAAAAUGAAGCGUCUCCAAGCAUGGAAAAGGAAUUGGAGUAUCAUUCCCAUAGAACUCUGAACCCAACCUCUUUACACUAGUCAUUCCACAUACUGCAAGAUGCUUUAGAGAGGGUAGUUGGCCGACUGACGGCAGGGUAGGACACAUGCCACAAUAUUCAAAUUUUAAGGUCACCAACUUUAAGAAUGAGGAAUCUCCGAACCAAGUUGGAAAUUUUGCGCCUCCAUAGCCGCUGAUACAAAAUUGUUCCAGAUUUUUAUGGGGUUCUAGCAUGUCAAGCACGUCCUUUUCAGUUUCCGCCUCCCUUGAAGACGAGCCAUCGGUACUGUUUGUCCACCGAAGCAUUAACACUUUAAGGUUCUUCUUUCCAUCCAAUUGAGCCUCCUUUGCAUCACCAACGUCUUUUACGUUCUCCAAUUUUGAAAUGCAAAGUGUCCCACGAAGGUGCGUCAACAACUUUAGCUCUCGUAACCCGGAACCACUGUCUUUUCCUACAACAAAAUUACACAACGUCUGAAGACAAGUCAACUUGCCAAUUCCUAGUGGCAUUUCCUCCAACGACUUCGUAUUUGAAUUCUUAAGAUGAUGCAAUUUGGCGAGGUUUCCCAUGUCUGCACACAACUUCUUCAGCCGAUCACAAUCUUCCAACAAAAGACUAUGCAAAUUGUAAAGCUUGUUGACUGAUUCAGGCAGAGUUCUAAUCUCAGUUCCAGACAGGUUAAGGUACCUUAAAUACCUCAAAGCACCAAUUGAAUCCGGCAGCUCAGGGAUGCGGUAUCCACGCAAAGAGAAGACCCUCAAGCGUUGGAGUUUGAGCAACUUAGGAAGAAUGCUAGGAGCCAAGUAUCCAGACAGUGAGCUAUUUGACAGCAUUACGGGUAAAAAUGUUCGCAAAUGUUGGAUAUCGUACAAGUCCUCAAACCUUUUAACACCAUCGUAAUCUCCACGAAUAUACGACAGAUGACGAAGAUUUCUUGAAAAACUUUGUUGCUUGUCAACCUCUGAGAUAUACUCCAUUCUGAAGUACAUUUCCCCAGCAGCCCAUUGAGCAAGGUCAUUGACGAGGUCGUGCAUCACAAAUCGUGAUAUACUGUUGCUUGAUUGCUGGAAAAAAGAUCUUGCACGUAGUUCUCGAAAGAACUUUCGACCUAGAUCUUCACUAGGAUUCCCGCUCUCUCCGUGAUCCAAGAGACCCACAGCACACCAUAAUAAAAUUAUCUCCUCCUCUUCAAAUUCAUAAUCCUUUGGAAACAAUGAGCAGUAUGCAAAGCAUUGUUUCAAAGGUGCCGAAAGAUAAUAGUAGCUCACUCUAAGCGCAGGUAUAAUGUCACAUCUCUCUUCUGGUAAAUCCCAUAUCUUGCAACUGAGCACAUCUUCCCAAUCACUUCGGUCACGUUUACCACGUAAGAGUCCACCAAGAGUUUUCGCAGCUAAGGGCAAGCCGUUGCAUUUGAUCACUAUAUUCUUGCCAAUGUCCUCCAAUGACUUAUGUGAACUGAAAUCUGUUGUCCCCAAAGAGUGCUGAGCGAACACAGACAGACAGUCCUCAGUUGACAAGCUUUUGAGUUCAUAAGCUUGAUCCAGGCUCAUGAUUUUGGCAACCUCUUCAUUGCGAGUGGUGACAACAAUCUUACUUCCCUGUGCGCCAGCUUGAAAUGAAAGGCUGAGGUGAACCCAAUCAGUGUAAUUCUCAUUCCAAACGUCAUCUAAAACAAGCAAAAAUUUCUUUCCAAAUAGUUGUUUCUUUAGCUCCUCUUGAAGCUUAUUCAAGUCGUGAUUAUCCACAUUCUGGCCAGGAGCAAUGGAAAUUAGGAUUGAUUUUGUAAGCCUGCUAACAUCAAAAUCAUCGGAGACGCAAGUCCAUGCCUUGAGAUUAAAAUGAUCCUCCACCUGCUUAUCAUUGUAGACAAGCUGAGCAAGAGUGGUUUUACCCAGCCCGCCCAUACCUAUAAUAGGAAUAACAGAGAAUCCACCAUCCUUUCUUGAAUCAUCCUUCAACAACAAUUCAACAAUUUCCUUCUUUUCUGUUUCCCUGCCAUAUACUUUGGCUUCCUCCACCAAAGAGGUUGUCUCUUGCCUUUGCCUGGCUUUUUUGGAUCCCCCAGCUGAACUUUUUAUCAAAUUCAGCGAGCCUAUUCUUUCUUCAAUAUCUUGAAAUCUAUCGUUGAUUUCUUUGAUUUUGGACAUCAUGGCGUAAUCGAACUGAAUCGAUUGUGGAGUAAAAGUGGUGCAGCAAGUAGGAAUGAGCUUCCGAAACUUACUUUUCGUGCUUGUACGACUGCUGCUGGGUUGAUCAUGAGCAGCAGCUGGUUCUCCAUUUCCAAGCAGCAACUUCCUCCGGAAAGCCUCAGUUUGGAACUCAUCCAACAAGUCUUCAACGUCAUAAGCCAAGUUCUGAAGCUCGCCAAGCCACAACUUCACAGAAUCAUCAGUCGUCUUCUUCUGCUCAGCAUCAUCAAGCACCGCCUUGAUCGUCACCAACUUCUUCUUCCACUUCACUAGAUCGUCUUUGAUUCGACCUUGGCGUUCAAAUAAACGAAGCCCCUCCGAAGAUAACUUAUUGACCAGCAUCUCAACGGACGCCUUCAGGAUUGCCUCUCCGAUGAUCGACAUAUAUUUUUUUUUUUUUGGGACAAAGAAUGAAACCAGAUUAUGAGCUUGUGGAAAGCAGAAUGAGAAAAGUGAAUAAGCAGCGUGAGUUUGUGAUUGUGUCUAGCAAGCCUAGAAAUCAAGAAAAACCCACCGUAAAAGUGAAAAGUAAAACGGAGCCAACCACAAAUAUAAAAUCAGAGGAUCACAGAAAUUAAAAAAAAAAAUCAAACACGUAAUGAUUUGUAAAGUUAUUAGCGAUUUGUAAAAAUCAAACAUGCGUCUUCUUCCUCUGAGUGUUUUUUUUUUUUUUUAACUUUAUUAAUUAAUUAGUGAAGUAAAUUUGUAAAGAUCACGGGCAUCAAAUUAUUGGGAGGUAUUAAUUGCGCUUAGUAUUUACAAUUUUUUGUAAAACUUUUUAAUUUCGUUGAAAAUGUAUCGUUAUUAAGUUAUUAUUGAUUUCACUCUCUUUUACUUUUUGACGUUGCGAAAAAGACAGUAAAAAACUUGCUAAAUGUCAUCAAAUACUUGUAUCUCAUCUCACAAAUUAGCAAUAUUUGUUUGGUAUUUCAUCUCAACGGGACGAAGGAACGAUAGAAAACGCGUUCCCUCAUCAAAAUUUUCUUUCGUGAGACCGAUAAUAAAUAAUAAAAUAUUCUUUUAUGGGAUCGAUUAUAAAUAGUAAAUUAAAGAAGGGUCGACAGAAAACGCGUUCCCUCAUCUAAUUUUUCUUUUGUGGGACCGAUAACAAAUAAUACAAUAUUCUUUUGUGGGACCGACUACAAGUACUAACAUAAAGAAUAAAAAAAUGAAAAAAAGGAUAGUGAAAUAACUCAACGGAGAAGUCUAUAAAUGCUUUUGUUUGGUAGCUGGCUAAAGCAGAAUCUGUAAGUUGCAGAGUCAAGUUACACUUAGCCUGCUCCAUAACUCUAAUGUGAAACAAAAAAAGUCCUGCCACCAAUAAUUCAGCAAGCUUCACUUUAUUACACGAAGGUGAAAGCAAAAAGCCAAAAACAGCCCCCACCACCAUCAAUAAUUUAGCAAGCUUCACGCGCUUGUGCUUGUCUUGUCUGCUUGACGAACUGGACAUGGGUGGACCAAGCAUCCAUUGAAUAACUGGAAAAAGUAAAAAAUAAAAAACAGUGUCCCGCAAAAAGAAUCCAUCUUUAUGUGUUGAUAUGCACAUCUACCGAACAUCUACAAAAUGGAAGUAGAAAUUGAAACUUACGUUUUUUAGUUAUGGCUCAUAUAUAAUACAAGUAUCAAUAUUUAAGUAGAAUAGAGUUCACAUAUACACAUGCGUCUAGUUUUAAGUUUUAACCGAGAGAUAAAUUAAUCAUUAAUACUCAGGUGUUUCUAAAUAAUUGAAUAAUGAUAUUAUACGAACCUUCCCUUUACAAGUCUUCAAACUCAUAAACCAAGUUAAAAUAAAAUUAAAAAAAACGUUUCUCUCUCUCUCUCCUUUUGCUAUAUGAUUACUUUAUUUAUUGAAUUAAUUUCCAUGCUAUAUCAAAGACUUAAAAGUACACUAUAAUUUUUUAUAAUCAUAAUGGUAAUUUCUAUCAUCAUAUUAAAUUAUUGUCGUGUCAAAAUAAAUUAUAACAAAAUUUUAGCUGAACAUAAGUUCGACUCAUUUAUUAAAUAUAUAUACUUAAUAAAAUAAUAAGACGAUUAAUAUGUUAUCAGUGAUAUAGACCCAACUGAAAUAACUCUAAUGUGAAAACAAAAAAAAUCCCGCCACCGAUAAUUGAGCAAAUUAACUUCACUUUAUUACACGAAAGUGGAAGCAAAAGCCAGAGGCAGUCCCCACCACCAUCGAUAAUUGUGCUUGUCUUGUCUGCUUGACGAACUGGACAUGGGGGGGGGGGGGGGGGGGGGGGGACCAACCAUCCAUUGAAUAACUGGAAAAAGUAGAAAAUAAAAAAAUCAGUGUCCAGCAAAAAGAAUCUACCUUUAGGUGUUGCUUCCUAUUCAGUACAUGCAUAGAUAAUGUACAUCGACCUGGAAUUAAAAAAAUGGAAGUAGAAAUUAAAACUUACUUUUUUAGAUAUGGCUCAUAUAUAUUACAAGUAUCAAGAUUUGAUUAGAGUUCACAUAUUUACAAUGUGCCUAGUUUUAAUUGAGAGACAAACUAAUCAUUAAUAAUCAGGUUUUUCUAAAUGAUUAAAUAAUGAUAUUAAUUAUUGAUAUUUAAAAAAUUUGUAAGAAGUAUAACUAAUAUGUUGGGAUAUGUAUUUGUGUAGAAUGGCAAAUAUAAAGAAUAGCAAUAAAAAUAGUGGAACUUUAAUAUGAUGAAAAAAGGUAAACUGUAGAAAAUUAAUAUAUAAUUCAAGGUACGUUACAAAUAUCACUUUCCUUCAGACAUUAUUUACCCCACCAAUUGAGUGAAUGCACAUGAGUUAAGCAAAUAUGUCUCUAGGAUAUAAUGAAACGCUUCUUUGUUUGCUUGUAUUGUGCAUCGACAAAAGUAAAUCUGAAUAUUCCUUAAUGUUGCAAGCUUGCCACGAAUUAAUAUAUUGUUAUUGUAAAAAAAUAAAAAAAAUAAUGUAUUGGAUAUUUGAUGCAUAAAAGAAAUAGAUAUUAUUAGAUGAAAUUCAUUUUGAGAAAUAGGGCUACAAAAAGAGUGGUGUAAUGUCGUUUUAUUAAUGUCUAAAUGGCAUAAAUAUGACAUCUAUUUACAAAUAUAUUUAUGCUCUUUUAUUUAAGUUAUCGUCUUUAGUAAUGCCCUUGAUUCAUAUCCAUUAGAUCAAGCAACCUAAUCCCCACUAAAACUAACUUAUUGAACAGUAACUCAACGGAUGCUGUAAAGAUUGCUCUUGGAUGAUUGACAUUUUUUUUAAAAAAAAUUUGGGCAAAGAAAGAAACUGAAUUAUGAGUUUAUGGAAAUUAAAGCAAAUGAGAAAGUGAAUUAGCACAAUGAGUUUGUGAUUGCGAAGGAACCAGCAAAUCAAAAAACAAUUAAGCAAGAGAAAAGGACAAUGAACACUUUAAUAUUCUAGAAAAGGGAUAUGAAACCUCUAAACAUUUUAAAAAAGAUAUAUAAUCUCCUUUUUAUUAGUAAAAUCUGUUUAUUUCAGUAGUAACAUAAUCUUUAAUUUACAUUUACUAUCAUGUCCCUAUAAUAAAUAAAUUAAUAUAUUUAAUUUAAAAGAGUGAGCCCUCCAAUUUUACUUCCCAUUUGCUCAAUUGCCUUUCAUUCAUAUACAAGCAUGUUUAACAUCUCAUUUUGCCUAAUUUGCCUUGGAAGAAAAUAAAUUUGAUUUUAUUUUUAUCUAUUAUUCAUCAUUUUUUAUCAUCUUAACAUUGGGAAGGAUAUAUUCAUAAUUUAAAGUGAAUAAUUUGGAUAAAAGAUAAUUAUAUCUUAAUUUUAAGUUUUAAAUAAAAAGUUGUUGGUUUUAUUAUACAUGUCAUUGAUGACAUGUCUUAAAUUAAUAUAUUUAUUUAUUUAUUAUCGGGAUAUAAUAAUAAUUAUAAAUUAAAAAUAAAUUUAUUAUUAAAAUAAAUGGAAUUUAUUAACAAAAAUAGGAAUUAUAUAUCUUUUUUAAAAUAUUAAAACAUUAUUUUUUUUUAGGGUAUCACUAUCCAUUUCCCAUUAAGCAAAACAAAAGUGAAAAGAAAAAUCAGAGCCCACUAUAAAUAUAAAAUUAGUGGAGCUCAUGAUGAUGCAUUUGCUUUACAUACUAAAUUAAAUAAAAGCCGAACCAAGAAUCUUUGCCUUAGCUUAACAUGAUUAAUUAGGCACUACUUCAUAGAAAACGCGAAAGCAAUGAACCCUUUUUUUAAUCUUAAAUGUCAUGAAUAUAAUUCUUCUGCGUUAAUUAAUCAUUCUUCUCUGACCGUCUCUUCAGGUUCAUUUCAAAAGUUUGAAGAUAGUUUAUCAAUUCUUCUACUUAUAAAAGCAAGUUAAAUUAAAAGAUUUUAAUCUCUCUUCUUAUUACUAUAAGUGCACUGUGCACGACAUUUUUUUACAAUAAACAAUGCCAAUUUGUAAUGUAAUGUUAUAUUCAUAUUCCCAUCGCGUCGAACUCUUUUUUUCCCUCUUUUUUAAAAGGAGACGGUGCGGUUUGGUUGUUCGCAAAAUUAGUGGUGUGGGGCUCUAUUUGCUUUUGUUUUCACUUUAUUAAUUAACUAGCGAAGCAAACAUGUAAUCAUUUGUAAAGGAGUCACUAGCACCGGAUUAUGUAAGAUGAAUUCGUAAGACUUAUUAAUUUCAAUUGAAAAUGUAGCGUUAUUAGGUUAUUAAUUCACUAAGUUAACUUGAGGUUCUAAUAUUUACUAAUUGUGGUGAUUAAUUUAUUUAACUUGUCAUAAUUUUCAUUUGAGAAUGAAAUUCAAUCAAUGUAUGAAAAAAGAUAAUUUUUUAAAAUUUUUAAUUCCUAUGAUUUGAUUUCACUUUUUUCCGGAUAUUGACGCUGUAAAAGCUUGCCCAAUGUCAUCAAAUGCUUGUAUCCCAUCUCACAAAUUAGCAAAUAUCAUUUGGUUUCUUUAUACGUGGCCAUCACAAAUUAAAAGUAACAACAUCCACCAUAUAUCGAAAAUUAAUUUUGAGAAUACUUUUGACUUUUAAAAGAAAAAUGCGAGUACAAUUUAAUAAGAGAGAACAAGAAUUGAUCAUGUCCCAAGAGACUGAAAAUAAGAUUAUAUAAACUUGAAUGCAGGCAUAUCAUAUGUUAAUCUUAAUUUUUUUUUGUUGCUGAAAAUUAAUUAAUUUGUUCCACUAUUCCUUUUUUAAUUGUAUGGUGAGAAACACAUUGGCCACUUCUGAAUCAUGUUGCAUAUUUGUUAACUCAAAGAAACAGUACACUUUUGUAUCAAUCAAACUCACUUUGUUAAUAUUCUUCAUUAUUAUGGUUAAUGGCUUAGCAAAUGUAGAAGGAGGAGUCAACCAAAAUGUAGCACUUUCUCUUGUAUUAACCUUUUAUUAAUUGUUGAAGUUAAAAAAAAUGUUAAAACAAGUUAAAAUAGUUCCAUCUCAAAAUCAGUAGGGUGUAAGUAGGUUGUUAUAAAUAUUUUUAAAUUUUAGUCUAAUUUAAUUGUGUGAUGCACAAACUUUCUCACUUCUUUCAUAUAAAUAAAGGGGAGAACUAUUUGAACUCAUUAAAUCACUUUUUAAAUUCCUCUACUUAUUAAGGCCAUCAUAAAAAUUCAAAAAUCCUUUUUAUACUCACUACAUCUCUUAAAAAUAUCGCAAAUAUGACACAUUUGUCUUCACCUUCUAUUUAUCUUCAACAUUCACAAUUUUUAUUUGAAUCUGUAAUAUGUUUAACACUGUUCAUUCACUCAUUAGAGUUCCAAUAAUAGAAUAUAGAGAUUAAAAAUAUCAUUAGCAAAUUAUUUGUUUGUGUUCUAUAUGAUAUUCUUGGUUUGGAAAAAGCUUCAUCGGCAAUAUAUGUAAAUAAAAGACUAAGAACUUCCAAUAAUUCAGAUUUGAUCGAAACUUCACAAACUUAUUUUCACUUAAAAAAAUAAAAUAAAGUAAAAGAAAUUCUCGUGUUUUAAAAGAAAAACUGCCAGACAUGUUUCUAAAACAACUAGAAACCAAACUAGGCUUGAAGCAGUGAGUUUUGAAUUAUAAAAAAUACAUAAUUGUAAUUUCACCUAAAUCAAAUGAUGAAUUUCAUGACAACGGAUUUAGACUAUAGACCAAUACACAAAGAAUUGGAUGUUCAUCGCAUUUGUUCUUGAAAUUGUUUUGCGCAAAAAAGUUAACUAUUGUAUUAUGUUGUAUUGCAUUAUUUUAAUAUAAGUGUAUUAUAUUAUGCUGUAUUGCAUUAACACUGUAUUAUAUUAAUACUAUACAACGUUUGGUUCUACAUUGUACUAUAUUAAUUUUUAAUUAUACAUACACUAUAUUAUGCUAUACUAUAUUAUUUUUUUGGUGGUUAAUUUCAAUUAUAUGUUUGGAAAUAAUAUUUAUUAGUACUUAGCAAAAUAUAAAAUAUAGAACCUUAAAUUUUAGAAUAUUUACAUCAAUUUUUUUUAGUAUAAAUGUAAAUAAUUAUAAUAAUUCUUCAUUAAACUUAUGUAAAAAUAACAAAUUCUGAAUUUUUGCUAUCGUAACAUUUUUUUUUUAACGGCGUUUUUCAAAUGUAUACCUUAUUGAUGAUGCACCAUAAAAAUAAAUAUCAAAUUUUGCGAUCAUGAUCAAGUCGAGUUUUACAUUAUGAAAGCAUGACACAAAAAUUGAAAAAAAUAAUGGCCGGCAAAAAGUUAUACAAGCAACAACAAAAGUGCUAAUUACUCGGAAAAUAAACAAUCAAGAGCCGCUGAUAGAUAUGAGUCAUAUGACAAGGUAGAGGAAUACAGAUAUCUGCAUACAUUUUUAACAAAGAUCAUCUUUGUAACCAAUUGUUGGCUUUGGCAUUAAAAGAUCAUCUUUGUAACCAACUGGGUAGCUAUAAAAUGAAUACUAAGUCAAUCAAACGGGAAAGCUUGCUACAAGACUUUGAAGCAUUAUUCUGUUGCAUCACCUUCCUCCUCUGCCUCACUUCCUGCAUCCCAAAUUAAAGAACAACAAAUAUUAAAUAACAAAAACAAAAUCUUCAAUAGACUUUUCAUACUCCAUGGAGCAAAUCUAUGGGAAUCCACAAAAUAAUUGAAAUAUAUCAAUGCUGCAGGUCAUAGUAACAAAUUACAGAUACACAAUCAUGCAUAUGCAACUAAAAAAUGCUUAUUUAUUACAGCCGCUUUUUGGCAUGACUACUUCAUAAGUUAUAUAUGAUAGAUAACAUUAUUAUUCUAAUCACAUGGUUAUGAUUUUAGUUGGACAUACAAAAGCUACGUGCAUGAAUCUGUAUCAUGCCACCUUUCAUGAGUCAAAAAUUUAAAUCAAAUCAAUUUGGUUGAGCCUUCAAAUUCCUAUUCCAGUCAAAGGAGAUGAUUUUUCCAAAGGUAAAGAAUGAGUCCGGUUACUUAAGCAUGUCAACCUUUUUUCUAGGCUAAGGUUUAUCCCUUUCCAUUUCACUAACUCUCCUCUCACUACCUUGCGUCAACAUUUGCAUACUUGAUAUACUUUCACAACCUUAAUCUAAUACUUUCAUUUAUGCUGAUAUAAAGAAGAAGUUUGAUUUAAAUCUGGACAGGUAACAAGAUUAAAAAACUGCCUUGUAGUAGAGCCAAUUCUUCCAACAAACAUUUCUUGAACCAAUAUCUAAGAUUAAGCUGGAUCACGUAAGACAAAUAUGCCAAGAAGAUUUUUAACUCACCUGACACUAUGGAUCUCCAAAUGUACUCAAUUAGCUUAGGUAAGCCAUACUUCUUCUCAAUUAUGAGCCCAGUAAAUAGGACCCGAAAAACUUGCAUUCCUCUGCUGACAUUCAUUUCAGUGUUGCAAGAAUUACAGAUUCCAUGACCAUGGACUGAAGUUCUUUUGUUAAGACAGGCGCAAGAGAGUACGCCCCUAUCCCACUAGUAUUUGGCCCGGUGUCACCAUCACCAACUUGUUUAUGGUCCUGACAAGACAUUAGAGGUAUGGGCGUAUGGCAUUCUCCCCAUCCACGAAGUCCUUUAGAACCAAAAGCAUUGUUUACAAGCAUCGAAUCAACAACUUCUAUGAAUCAUCCAAUGUCAUAGUUAGAGCUGGUAAAAUUUGACACGAUCCAAUUAUUCGACACGAACACGACACUAAUAAAUGGGUAUGGGUCGUCAAAUUUAACACGAUUAUUAAAUCGGUCGGGUCCGGGUCAACACGAUUUUUUUCCGUGUCGGGUUAGGGUUAAAAUUCUUGACCCAUUUACCCGAUCAAUGACUCGAUUAUAUUUUUUAUUUUAAAAUAAUUUAUAGAUUCUUGUCAUCAAAACUUAAAUAUUAGAGAAUUUUUUUUUAUUCUUUAAAAAGAUGAAUAUAGACACAAUAUUUUAUUUAUAAAAUUUUAAAUAUAUUUAGAGCUUUAAUAAUGUAAAUGUAUAAAAUAUUGGUAGAUACGUAUAUUUUAUAAUAUUGAUAUAUAAUAUUAUUUACAUAUAUAUAAUUAAAACCUCAAUAAUGUGUGUAAUAUUUUAGUAGAUAUGAAAAUUUUAUAAUACUGAUAAAUUAUGUAUGUAUGGAUGGAUGUUGAGACAAGCUAGAGAAGCCAUGAAUGAGAUUUUUCCUUUGACUCCUGCUAUGUGGCAAGAAUUUGCGAGAGAUGAAGCCUCUAUUUCAACCGGGUAUCUGUCAUUUCCUUUUUACAGUGGUUUUUGAUUUUGUGAACAAAUACUUUUUUUUUCGCUUAGAGAUAUAGAUGUUUAUGUUAGUUAUUUGCUAAUGUAAAAAGGAACAAAAACUGCUUAAAAGGUAUUAAAGAAAGAAAAAAGGAACCAAUUUGAAGAAGGGGAUACUCAUAGCGGGAGUUCUGCUUUGGGGUUUAAUUGAUGGGAAGAAGAAAUAGUUUAUAUGUUUACAGAAUUAAACAAUUGAUCACUGAGUUAGUUGAGGAAGAUAAUUAAUCACAAUGUCUGAAGCUGUUGCUGUUGGCGUCACCUAUUGUUAAGAUUUCAUCCUUUUUUAUGGUUUUACAUAGCUGUGACCUAAAGCUUAAUGUAUACGUUGAUAAUUACAUAAUUGGUUUCUUGCUGAUACUUGGCUUUAAUUUGUAAGCCUGAGGCUCUUUCGGGAAUUGAGAAGAUUUACGGAAGAGGAGUUUCUGAUUAUCUGGUUUGUUCUCUUUAUGCUUACAGAAUUUGAAUUAACGCUCUGCAUGAAUUUAUGAUUCAUUUUUUUUGGAGAAAUAUUUUAUGAAAUUGAAGCAUUGGAGUAAAGCGUACUAGUCGUAAGCUUGAUUCACUUUGUUUUGAUUUUAUUACCAAGAGGUGCUAACAGUUCAUGAUGCAUAAAAGAGGGGGAAAAAAACUCUUCUUGGUAGAUACAUAAAUUUUAGUUUCUGAAUCAUUUUCAACGAAAGAAAUAAUUUUACAGAGGCUGAAGAGCAGCAUUUUCAUUUAUAUGAAAGUUCAAUUGUUAUAUCAUCUGUUUCCAUAUCUUUUGUGGUAAAUAAAGUCCUUGAUGAUGGCAUAAGAGCACAGAAGAGUUGUUAGUUUCAUAUGUGGAGAUUUUCAUCAUAGUAGUUCAUUGAAAGUGAAGGCAGCUGAAUACCCUUUUUUCUGAUGCAGUCUGUCCCUCUUUGGUGUGAUUAUUUAAAAUUUGUGCAAGAAUAUGAUCCAUCUAUACGCGAAUGUUUACCCAAUGGCACUUCAAAGGCAAGGAAUCUAUUUGAGCGGCUAUUACUGCUGCUGGUCUGCAUGUUUUAGAAGGCAGUGAAAUAUGGGAAUUGUACAGAGAAUUUGAGCUAGCUAUAUUUAGUAGGAUUGAUAAGAUUAACUUGAAUGUGAAAUAUUUUAAUUUAUUUUACUUUUUUUUGGGCUUAAAUAACGAGUUUAUUCCCAUCUAUAGAAAGAAAAAGGGAAGGUUUUUUUUUUUUUUGCUGGGGGGGGUGUUUCCAACCCUAGCACAUGACAAGCAUUCCAAGACCCUUGCUGCUUGUUUUGCAGGAAAAGGAAAAACAGGUUCUGCGGAUUCGAAGUAUAUUUCAUCGCCAGUUGUCUGUUCCCCUUGCUAACUCAAGUGCAACUCUUCUUGCCUACAAAUCUUGGGAGCUCAAACAGGGGGCUGUUCUUGAUGUUGAAUCUAGUAAUGUAGAUGGGAUUUCUUCUAAUGUUGCCGCAGCAUACCAAAAGGCAUUGGAGAUGUGUAAUGCACGAGCUCAUGUUGAAGAGCAGAUUUCUAGGCAGGAUUUAUCUGACUCAGAGAAAUUUCAACAAUACAUGGCAGAUGACUUUACUAUCGUCAUUUGAUAGCUUUUUAUAGUAAGUGAAAUCCAGCCCUAAAAAUUUUAUUAAUAUGAAUAUUUUUUUGGGGGGAUUUCUUCUUAUGGCAUUAUUAUUUUGCUUUUGUGUAGCUAACAAUUAAUAUGUGCACUUUAAAUAUUAUCUAUUGUUUCUUAGCAAAUAAUAGUAAUAAUAAUAAGUAAUAAAUAAUUAAUAUCUGCAUUGUCAAAUAAUAAUAAUAAUAAUGUCUGCUCUUUUUACUCUUGGGGGGGGGGGCAUGCAGUGUCAUUAUCUUCCUUCUUCUCCUUUUUCUAUUUUGUGCUUUCAAGUUUAAUAUUAUUAUAUUAAUCUGUUAUUGUUGUAGAUAUACUUGAAGUAUGAGCAAUCUUCUGGAGAUCCUGGUAGAGUUCAACUUCUUUAUGAACGGGCUAUUACCGACUUUCCUGUAUCAAGUGAUCUCUGGCUUGAUUAUACUCGUUAUCUUGACAAAACAUUAAAGGUUUAUCCUUCUAUUUUCUAUUUUACUUCUUCUGUUGCAGCUAUUUGUAUACUAAUCGACUCUCCUCUUCAGGUUGGUAAUGUUGUGAGAGAUGUUUAUUCCAGGGCUACAAAAAAUUGUCCCUGGGUAGGAAAACUUUGGGUACGAUCUUUGCUUUCUCUGGAACAUGGCCGUGUUUCUGAGGAGGAGAUAUCCACUGUAGGUUUAAUUGUUACCCUUCAUUCUGAGCUUAAUCAAUUUUCCUGAAUGUAUUCAUUCUGAGCUUAAUCAAGUUUCCUGAAUGUAAUUGAUUUUGAUUGUUUGAAGUUAAAGAAAUGAUCAGCUUCCUAGGCAAAUUUCUUGGCAAGCACUUGAUUGUGGGAGUAACUGAGGAGAAGCAUUCCCUAGUGUUUUUUUUUGUUUUUCUCCUCCCCUAAAAUUGCAAUAUACUUCCCUUGAAGAGUAUUUUUUGCUUUAGCAUUUACACAUCUGUACAGAAGCAAACAUGAAUCAGAGAGAUUUAGUGGGCAAAUUCACCUGUGCUGACAAAUUAAAGCAUAUUAAAUACCGCGGUGGUUGUUGGAAUGCUCCAAAAAGUGUUUUCUUGGUGCUCCUGCUCCUUUUGCACUUUCAUAGUGUUUUAAUAACUGGGUUGUUUAAAUGUCCUGUACUUAUUUUCUUUACAAAUGUCUUUGUAUUUUUUUAAAUUUAUAAAAGAUUGUUCUAAUUAUAUUAAUAGCAACAAAUUGCGCAAACUCAAAUCUUAAUUUCAUUCUGCCCCUAUUACAUAUAUACGGGAUUCUCCUAUUAUUUCAUCAAAUUUUCCAUUACUAAUUUCAGGUCUUUGAGAAGUCACUACUAUGUACUUUUUCAACCUUUGAGGAGGUAGAGAUAUAAUCUUAUGUCUUCUGUACAUACCUUGGUUUCUUGAGCUGUAUGAUUUGGUAUAUAUCUACUUCUGAUUCAUCAUGCAUUUUUUUGUUAACUGGUUCUUUUUUGUUUGAGUACCUAGAUCUAUUCCUUACUUGAAUAGAUGGUUUGAGGUGGAGAAUUUUAUUCUCCGGUGAAGUUGAGGGCGCCUUGGAUUAUUCAUUGAUAACGGAAACCCUUCAGGUUUGUAAACUUAUACUGUUGGCUAUUCAAUAUUAAAAUUGGUUAUACUCCUUAAUAUCAAGAAAUUGAAGCUUCCCAAAUCAUACCCAAGAAAUGCUCUAUUGUGGAUUACUGGAUGGAGCUAGUUGCUAGAUGAUACCUUUAAGAUUCAAGACAUAUGUUGUUUUGUGUAUGGCUAUCAAGUACUUUGGCCUGCAAUUGUGGCAUAUUGGUCUUACGCCAGCAUCAGGUAUAACAUUGUGUCUGGCAUAUAUACCAUUGGAAUUCUGGGUUUCUGUUGAGUGGGCUCCAACAGCUAUAUUUGUGUCCAAUGUUGUGGGGUCCUCUUCUUUGGUGCUUUUAAGUGAAGUUUUAACUUUCCUUGUCAAAAUUUUGUUACAAAUCAAGUAGAAGGCACUGCACUGAAGCAUUGGUACUUCUAGAUUGCUUGUUUUGCAUGGUAGAUUUCAAUCCAUUGCUUUUAUUUCUUGGAUCAUGUUUAUCAUUGAGGACUUUCUUGGCCAGUCAUAGAGCUGACUAGUGCUACCAUCAUCAUUGGUAGGGCAAAAAAGUCAAUUCCUAUGGGAUGCUUUCUGACUUAGAGAAGAUGUCUUCAAGAAUUUGUGGAUUUAAGUCUUCACACGAUGUUCAACUCUUGAUAGUCUAACCUUGGUACAGGAUUUAUAGCUGUCUUCCAAGUUUGUGCUCAUAAAUGAGUAACCUGUCUGUCUUUAUGAUACCAGUUAAAUUUGUUAGCUUUCCGGGAUUUGGAGGUUGUAAAUGUCCAUAAACAACAAUGUCUUCUCUUCCUUACAGCGUGCAUCAGAUUACUUGUCAGAACAGAUGAAAAAUAACAAUGGUUUGCUGCGUUUGUAUGCUUAUUGGGCACGUCUUGAACAAACUAUGGGAAAAGAUACGGUUUCAGCUCGUAGUGUCUGGGAGAGGCUACUUAAGAUCAGGUUCACCAAUUUUAAUUUUUGCCAGUGCAUACAUAGCAAAAUUUCUUUAUAUCUAUAUAUUUUCGGAUAACUUGUGCUUCUCUUAAUGCAGUGGUACAAUGUUGGAAGCCUGGCAAAGUUAUAUAUCUGUGGAAAUUGAAUUGGGUCAUAUUAAUGAAGCUAGAUCCAUCGACAAGAGAUGCUACAGUAAAAGAUUUACAAGGACAGGUUCAGAGGUAAAUUUCUUUCAUCCUGCUUCUUUAAUGAAUAUUAACUGCUUAACAACGUACCUUGUUGUUUCCAUCUUGUUUGUUUAACUGGUCUUAUUUGUAAACACCUGAAAUCAUACAUCUUAAUUUCUGAUAAUUAGAUGUUAUUUUAGAUAUCUGUAUCUGUUAAUGUUCUUUCAAGUCUGAUUCCAAUGCAUAUUUAGUUAAACUGCUCUUUACUGCAUUUUGGAUUAGUUGAUAUCUUCCUUUCCUAAAAACAGAAUCAUUCAGGACAUAUGCCAUGCUUGGCUGCAAUUUGAAUGGGAAUUUUGUAUAAAAUUUUUAAUGAAUUUAUGGGUUUGAUGAGUAAAAUUAGGGGUUCAUAUAGACUCACCCAUAAAUUGAACCCUUAUUUUAUGUUGAUGCACAACUUAACUUAACAAAAAUAAUGUUCAAAUUGUCACAAAAUUUGAAAAAAAAAUCAUACAGUUAAUUUUUCUUCUACUUUACUCCAUUAUUCAAUGGGCAUAUAAUAAAUUAGGAGAGGGGAGAAAUAAAGGGGAAAAUUAGAGUAUUGUCGCAAUGAUACACUGAUACAAAUGCCCAUUGAGUGAUUGUCAAUGGGCAUAUAAUAAAUUAGGAGAGGGGAGAAAUAAAGGGGAAAAUUAGAGUGAUUGUCACAAUGAUACACUGAUACAAAUGCUUAUGUAUGUGUAGUGUGUGUGUGGGGCGUUCUUUAAUUUGACCAAAAAUAAAUGCAUUUAUUUGUAUUUUUAAUCAAAAUCGAGGGAUAUAAACAAAAAUUUUACCACUCCAGAGUCCAGACAUGUAUCAUUGCCUCGUUAAAAAAAAUUGCAUAAAAUUAAAAAACCAUUAGUGGCUGAAAGAGAGAAACAAAUUAAGAAAGGGUUCAAAAGAUGGAACCCGAAGAGAAAACCCUAGCAACAAUCCCAGAAGAAGAAGAAGAAGAUGGAGACACGGCCAUGCCCGACGUCAAGAACAACCCUAAACCAACAACAACAGCCAACUCUUCGGACUCGAGCGAUGCCUCUGACUCAGACUCGGACUCUGACUCAGAAGAUGAAGCAAAACAGAACAUGGAGCUUCAAACCCUAGAGUAUCAGCUAUCCAAUGAACCCUCCAAUUACGACACCUAUGUUCAAGUAACUUCAAUACACAUAUUUAUUGAGUGAUUUUGUGGAUAACCGUUUGCUUGUUCUUUCUUGGGUUGUGAUAAAAAUGGUUUUUAUCUUUUUUUUUUCAGUAAAUAAAGGUUUUGAGAAAAAUGGGUGAGAUAGAGAAAUUGAGACAAGCUAGGGAAGCCAUGAAUGAGAUUUUUCCAUUGACUCCUGCUAUGUGACAAGAAUGGGUGAGAGAUGAAGCCUCUAUUUCAACUGGGCAUCUGUCAUUUCCUAUUGCAAUGGUUUUUUAUUUUGUGAGCAAAUGUUUUUUUUGCUUAGAGAUAUAGAUGUUUAUGUUAGUUAUUUGCUAAUGUAAGAAGGAACAAAACCUGCUUAAAAGGUAUUAAAGAAAGAAAAAAGGAACCAAUUUAAAGAAGGGGAUACUUAUAGUGGGAGUUCUACUUUGGGGUUUAAUUGAUGGAAAGAAGAAAUAGCUUAUAUGUUUACAGAAUUAGACAUUUGAUCGCUGAGUUAGUUGAGGAAGAUGGUUAAUCACAAUGUCUGAUGUUGUUUCUGUUGGCCUGAACUAGUUGUUAAGAUUUCAUACUUUCAUUCAACAAUACAAUAGACUUUGAUUGGGUCCACCGUAGUUGGGUGUUCUGAGGAAUCAAUGAGUGUCUUGAGAAAACUUGGGUGGAGUGCUGGUCAUUUUCAGGAUUCAGUUUCCAAGAAAACAAAAAUGAAGUCGUAGUUGUAGUUUAAAUUAAUUUAUGUUUUUAUCUUUUUCUGUGAGCCCAGUGAGCUUUUAUUUUCACUUUGUUCGCUUUUGUUUCUUUCCCUUCUUUUCCUACAGUUUCUUGAUAAUCAAACAGAUCAGGAUUAAGUGUUUACUUUUGGUUAGGGGUGGGCGUUCGGUUCGGGUUAACCCGAACUAAACCGAACCUGAAAUUUAUUUCGGGUUCGGUUCGGUUUGGGUUAACUCGUGCAACCCGAACGGAUUCAAAGCUUCAAUCUGUUCGGGUUAAAUUUCGGUUCGGGUUCAACCCGAACCGAAUUUUCAACCCGUUCGGGUUGAAGCUUUUUUUUUUUUAAAGAUUUAGCUUUUAAAUUAAAAAUAUAUAUACAUUAAUUAAACCAAAAAAUCCCUAAAAAUGAAAAAUCCCUAAACAAAAAUCUCUCCCUCUCGGCCUCCCCCUCCUUGCUCCCUCUUCUCACUUCUCAGUUCUCACUUUCUGUGAACUGUGGUUGAUGACAUCAGCACUUCAGCAGCAGCCACAGCAGCCCCGUUCAGCUCCAACAGACACCAGCCGGCCUCAUCGUCUCACUCCCUCCCCCUCCUUGCUCCAUCGUUUCACUCCCUCCCACGACGACAACACUCACAGGCCACAACAGCAGCCAGCAGCCCCGUUCACAGCAGCCCACUCGCGUCAGCCAGCACGCCUCGCCCGCAACUGCGCUGUGCGUUCAGCUCGCGUCCCACUCAGCCCAGGAAGUCUCGAUCUGCCAACGCUGUAGCUGCUCUGACCUCCGAGAUUAAGGUUUGUCUUGCCUUGCCGACGGCGACGCUGUAACUUGCUGACUUGCACGCAACUGAUGGCAACAACCCGAAUUGAAUUUUAAGUUUUUAACAGCCUGUUGCUAUUAAUUAAAUUGUAAAUUUUUAAUUAAUUGAUUGACAAUUAUUCAAUUAUUUGAAGUGGGUUUGUUGUUGUUGAUUGAUAAUUGAACCCGAACUAAUCCAAACUAACCCGAAUUAACCCGAACCGAAAUUGUAACCCGAAUUAUCAACCCAAUCCGAUCCGAAUUGUCAAUCCAAACCGAACCGAACCGAAUUGGUUCGGGUUGGCGUUUUCAACCCGAUUGGGUUCAAUUCUCCAACCCGAACGGGUUGAAACCCAAACCGAAACCCGAACAACCCGAACCGAAACCCGAAACGCCCACCCCUACUUUUGGUGUAAUUAUUCACUCUAACUCGAAUAGUACUUAGGUUUAGUGCUAACAAAAUAGGAAGUGAAUUAAUAUCUGAAGUUGACCUAGGAGUGGAAUGAAUGUUACCAAAAAUAUACUAUAUGGUAGAUAGAAUUUGCCUUUUAGGUAAGACAAAAAUAAUUACAGCUGUUAAUUUAUUUCAAUAAGUUCGUACAUCAUUGAAUAAUAAGUCCAAGAUUUUAAUGGUUUUGUUUCCUGAAAAUUUGUCACGAGUGCAUGAACAAAGUUCUAUGGAUGAACUUCUCUUAGUUAAUUUGAGUUCAAUGUCGCAGUUCCUCAUAUUAACUAUAUAAAACACUAAUCUUGCUCUUUACUUUGGAGCAUUUUAAUAAUUGAUGCUAAUUCCUUAGCCAUUUUAUUCAUCUUGUGCAUAAAUUAUGCAAUCAAUAAGCCAACUCCACUUUCAUCUUUAUUUAGUGAAAAAUUUGCAAGGUCACUAGGAGGUUUUUGUAUGUCUCAUGCUAACAUGGACGCCAUGGUUUCACUAUGUAAAUUUUCCCCACUGAAAUUCAUGAUCCCUCAUAUACCACUCAUCACUCAUGAAGCUGUUUCUGGGGCUUUAAAAGCGCCAAAUUUUAGUUUUAUCCUUUCUAGCUUAUUAACCUGUCCGCAUCUGCAUUAUUAUCUUUCCUGUCAUACGAAAGUUUCAUUUAUCAUCUUCCCAACAUAAACAUCCGUAGGUCAUUGUUGACUUUUUUGCUUUGACACUUAUUGUUUCUAAGUAUAGGCUACCAAGGGAGAAAAAAAUUGACAUUGAUGGUCAUCCCCAGCAUUUUUAUCCCAGGAGACUGGUCAUUCACUUUCUAUGAAGGACUAUAUAGACAUCCAGACUCUAUUUUGAAGGACAAAGCUGUGGCUGAGCUUGGUUGUGGAAAUGGAUGGAUAACCAUUGCCAUAGCUGAGAAGUGGUUGCCUUUGAAGUUUUGUUGGUUUGUCGUCCUUAUGCCAUGUGAGAGCUUUUAUUUCCUUCCCUACCAGUGCCUUCAGGGGCUCCAUCAUGAUUUCUCUCAUCAUUUUCUAUCUCUGUGUUUUGCAAGGCCAUUUGAUAUUUAUAACAGCAUUGGCACCAGGUUAUGGUGAUUUAAUGCACUCCUAUUAGGAAAAAUUACAUAAUUAUCAACUCUGUCCUUGUCCAAAAGUCUUUGUUGGAGUAUGUUGAAAAUAUAACCUUGUAGGAGUUCUUUUAUGCUGUCUGAAUAUCCUAUUGCAGGUCUAUGGCCUUGAUAUUAAUCCCAGAGCAAUAAAGAUCUCUUGGAUAAAAUUGUACUUAAAUGCAUUAGAUGAAUCUUUUUCUAAGCUUUUCUGUCACUGUCACUGCAAAAGGUCUUUUGUAUUGAGGGUUAUCUGUGGGGCUAGGAAAGGUCAGCCCAUCUAUGAUGCGGUGAAGAAAACCUUACUGGAUAGGGUGGAGUUUGAUGAAUCUAAUCUCCUAGCAUAUUGUAGACAUCAUGACAUUCAACUUGAAUGAAUAGUGGGGUGCAGACCUCAGGUACUCUCACUUUCUGCAACUCAUGAUAUUUCUAGGGGAUUAAAUUUUAGUGAAGUUUGUUUACCCAACAUCAAGUUGGAAUUUUAGUGUGCCCACAUGGAUUACUUUUAACUCCUAGUUUAACUUAUUCUGUUGUCUCCAUGCAGGUUCUCAACCCCAAUUCCAAUGCAAUGUCGAAAAUAAUCACUGAAAAUGCAAGCGAGGAAUUUCUGUAUUCAUUGAGUAACUAUUGUGGAUUGCAGGUUGGAAGAUAUUCUAAAUAAUUUAAUUGUGAUGCGCAAUUGCAAUUGCCGGGAAGUUAGCAAUUAAGUUGAUAGGCUUCUUCUGGUUUCACAUAUUUCUAAGUAACAACUUUGGUUUGAAGCUUGCAUACCUUAGGUAAGGUUGAUGUCUUUAGUUGGUCAAUAUCAAUUGGGAAAUAUAGCUAACCAGUGAAGACAGUGGGAAAAGGAUGAUGUGAGUUUGACAAAUGCUGGGAGGAGAUAGGGAAACUUAAUCUGAAAGAUUUCUUUUUUUUUCUUGGUUUAUUUAUUUAUUUACUCGUGUGACCUCUUCACAAUGCCAUUGAUUCCCAUAGUUCAUGUUGCUAGGUGAACUUAACAACAACCAUCUAUUAUGCCUUGUGGAUAACUGAGAAAAUUUAUUGCUUUGGACAAGUUGCUUUUUGAAAUAGAGUGCAAGUAGAUUGACUAAUAAUGAACUUAUUGUAUCAAGUUGUUACAUUUGAAUAUAUUAAGGUCAUAUAAAGCUUACUUGUUAUACUUCUUUUUUUCUUUUUUCCCUCCCCAUUUCCCUGUAUGGAGGGUUUCUUGGACGAUCAGUUUGGCUUAGGUCUAAUUUUCUCGAGCAGUUAAGGAAUUACUGUUAUCAAAAUAAAGUUUCCUCUCACUCACUAGCCAAUUGAGCAGCUCGUCACCGGUCGGAUUCAUUGCCGAUUGCAGCCCACCUCCAUCAUGUCAGUUCAGUAGCUUGUCGCUGCAGUCAUGAUCGGCCUCUUUGUUGUCGUUGAAGAACCAAUCAAUAAUGAUGAUGAUUGAUGAUGAUGAUGAUUACCAUUGUUGAUGAUUAAUAUUAUUGAUGAUGAUGAUGUAGAUGAUGUAAUUGCGGUGAGAUGAUGAAGAUGAAACUGAAUUGUGAUGUUGAUAAUGAAAUUGACAGAAGGAAGAAGAAGAUUGUGAAAAAUCUGACUUCUUCACUCGUAUUACAUUAGAGAAGAAUACAUAUUUAUAUACAUUACACCCUAGGAAUAAAAUGGUAAAAAAAAAACAGCUAAGAUAUUGCAAAUCAGUAUCCCUGAAAAUUAGGGAUUAUAUAUCCUAAAAUCUAGUAUUUAAGUCAACACAUAGCUGUAAAAUACAGCUAACAUCUACAACAAUAGUCAACACACAGCUGUAAAAUACAACUGACAUCUGCAACACUCCCCCUCAAGCUGGAGCAUAGAUAUUCUUCAUGCCUAGCUUGCAUACAAACUCUUCAAACUUGUGUCCAUGCAUUCCUUUUGUCAACAUAUCUGCAGUUUGUUGUCCUGUUAGAAUAUACACCAAACAGAUAACUCCAGUUUCCAAUUUCUCUUUAAUAAAAUGUCGGUCUACCUCCACAUGUUUUGUCCUGUCAUGAUGGACAGGAUUAUGGGCAAUAUUAAUUGCUGCCUUAUUGUCACAGUAAAGUUGCAUAGAACUAUUUUUUAUUAACUGUAGUUCUUUGAGAACACGUUCUAUCCACAUAAGCUCACAUACCGCAUGUGCUAGUGCUCGAAAUUCUGCUUCUGCACUGCUUCGUGCCACUACAGUUUGCUUCUUGCUUCUCCAAGUUACAAGGUUUCCCCACACCUUAGUACAAUAACCCGUUGUAGACUUCCUAUCCAUGAUGUUUCCAGCCCAAUCCGCAUCAACAAAAGCUUCUACAUUCCUUUUUUCUCCCUUCUCAAAAUAAAGUCCCUUUCCCGGUGUUGACUUCAGGUAUUGAAGUAUUCGGUUUACUGCCACUAAGUGAGCUUCUUUUGGGGCGUGCAUAAACUGGCUCACUAAGCUAACCGCAAAAGCAAUAUCAAGUCUAGUAUGGGAAAGAUAAAUUAAUCUCCCUACUAGCCUUUGAUAUCUCCCCCUCUCCACGGGUGCACUAUUUUCUUCAAGACCCAACUUGCUAUUUGGUUCAAUUGGUGUGGCAGCAGGUUUACAGCCAAUCAUACCAGUAUCCUUUAGCAAAUCUAGGGUGCAUUUCCGUUGUGUAACUAGAAUACCUUUAGCUGUUCUAGCUACCUCCAUUCCCAAAAAAUAACGUAGUGGUCCAAGAUCCUUGAUUUCAAACUCACCAGCUAAUUUUUCUUUUAAUCCUUCCAGCUCUUCUUUGUCAUCUCCUGUUAGUAUAAUGUCAUUAACAUACACGAUCAAAAUAGCUAACUUCCCUUCUUUAGACCGUUUGUAGAACAUAGUAUGAUCGGCUUGCCCUUAAGAAUAACCAUAGUUCUUCAAGACUUUCCAAAUCGAUCGAACCAAGCCCUAGGGGACUGUUUAAGGCCAUAGAGAGACCUUUUUAACCGACAAACUCUUCCAGCAGGUCCUUUUUCUUCAAAACCAGGCGGCAUAUCCAUGUAAACUUCCUCUUCCAAUUCUCCAUUCAAGAAUGCAUUCUUGAUAUCAAGUUGGUUGAGAGGCCAAUCUAAAUUUGCAGCAAGAGAGAGAAGGAUCCUUACAGUAUUAAGCUUUGCCACUGGAGCAAAAGUUUCUAGAUAGUCCACCCCAUAGGUUUGUGUGAAACCUUUCGCCACGAGUCUUGCUUUAUACCUGUCCACACUUCCAUCAACCUUAAAUUUGACUGUAAAUACCCACUUGCACCCCACAGUCCUCUUGUCUUUAGGUCUUGGUACAAGCUUCCAUGUGUUAUUCUUUAUUAAGGCUGCCAUUUCUUCUUAAACAGUUUUCUUCCACUCAUUUGACUCUAGGGCUUCAUGGAUGUUUCUUGGAAUAGUGGUAUUAGAUAGACUGGCCACAAAAUUCCUAUACUCCUUAGAUAGAUUUGCAUAUGACAAGAACUUGUUGAUAGGAUGUUUAGUGCAAUUUCUUACCCCUUUCCUUAUCGCAAUAGGCAAAUCUGUGGACUUCUGAGCUUCGUUCUCAGCAUAUUCAGUAGGUGGGUUUUGAUCCUCCCUUAGUUCAGAUCUCGGUUCUGCUUGGUCUAUAAGUGGCUGUACCUCUUGAGUUUUAUUCUUCUUUCGUGAAUAGACAUGAAACUCGCCUAUAGGUUCCUCCAAAUGUGAAUUGGUUUUUAUUCCUUCAUUCCUUGGUGACACUAUUGGUUGAUUAAGUUCUAUGGUGUUAGGUAGGUUAGGAUGAAUGUCUGGACUGAGGAAGGAGGUAUUUGGUAGAUUGAGUUCUAGGCUGGAAUUACUGGACAUAUUAGGUUCUAGGCUGGAACAUCUGGACAUAUUGGGUUCUAGGCUGGAACUACUGGACAUAUUGGGUUCUAGGCUGAAAUUACUAGGCAUCUUAGGUUCUAAAAUGCCAAGAAGAUCCCAGGAAUUAUCUUCUCUCAAAUUCUGCCCCUGAAGAGAAUUACUCGUGUAAAAAGGCUGAUUUCAAAGAACUUGACAUCCAUUGUGACGAAUAAUUUUUUGGUAAGAGGAUUAUAACACUUGAACCCUUUCUUGGUAGGAGAAUAUCCUAGAAAUAGGCACUUGAUGGCUCUAGGAGACAACUUUGUUCUUUGAAGACUCGGAAGAUAUACAAAGGCUGUACAACCAAAAGUUUUGAGUGCAAAAUUAGAGGUAACAAGGUGAUUUUGUGGGUAGCUGUCAAGAAAAACAAAAAUAGGUGUCUUGAAUUUAAGAACUCGAGAGGGCAUACGAUUUAUGAGAUAAGAUGCUGUAAGAAUGGCCUCUCCCCAAUAUAUUUUUGGUACAUUAGUUGUGAACAUAAUGACCCUAGCAACCUCUAAAAGGUGUCUGUUUUACGUUCUGCAACCCCAUUUUGUUGUGGUGUUUCGGAACAAGAACUUUGGUGGACAAUUCCUUGUUGUGAUAGGUAAUUCCCUAAAAUAGAAUUGAAAUACUCAGUUCCAUUAUCUGUACGGAGUACACGAUUUUCAGUUUGAAACUGAGUUUUUACCAUGACAUGGAAUUGUUUAAAAGUUUGUCCAGCUUCAGAUUUUUCCUUCAAAAGGUACACCCAAGUGGUCCUAGAGUGGUCAUCUAUGAAUGUUAUGAACCAUUUUGCUUUUGACAGGUUGUUAACCCUUGAGGGGCCCCAAAUAUCACUAUGAAUCAAAGAGAAAGGCUGGGAUGGUUUAUAAGUACGGGUAGGAAAUGAAACACGUGUUUGUUUAGCCAUUUAACAAAAGUCACAAUAUAAUAAACUCAAAUUUUGAUUUUUAAAUAAGGAAGGAAACAAGGUUUUUAGAUAUGGAAAGCUAGGGUGGCCUAACCUAUAGUGCCACAACAUUAUUUCAGAAGAAACAAAUUCACAUUGAGAGACCUGAGCAUGUCCUUUCACGAGUCUUUUAUUCUCGAGAUAGUACAGUCCCUCAUAUUCCUUUGCAUUCCUAGUCAUCCUCCCCAAGAUUGGAUCCUGAAAUAGACAUUUAGAACCACAGAAUUUAGCUACACAGUUUGUGUCUUUAGUAAGUUUACUAACUGAAAGAAGAUUGCAUUUAAGAUUUGGGACAUGUAAAACUGAAAAAGAGUCAAACAAUUUGAUAGUUUUACUGUUCCUUUUCCAGCAACAGUGGAUAAUGAUCCAUCAGCAAUCCUCACUUUAUAAUUACCUGGACAUGGAGUGUAACUAGAGAAAAAUUGAGAAGACCCUGUCAUAUGGUCUGAGGUCCCUGAAUCAACAAUCCAAGAACCUUUUUCAAGGGAUUGGAUGCUAAGGGCUGAUGGGUUACCUGUAUGGACUGCAUUACAACUAGAGGAGGUCAAGUCAUUUUUAUUUGCUUGCUGAUUUUGUAUAAGGAGCUGUUGCAGCAUCUCAAAUUGAUCUUUUGCGAGGGCAAACUGAUUAGUUUUCUCUGUCACCAUUCCCUUUGCUUCUUGCUGCCGUUUUGGUUUCCAAUCUGCUGGCUUUCCAUGAAGCCUCCAGCAUGAGUCUCGAGUAUGCCCUUUCUUGUGACAAUAGUCGCAAUAGGGACGUUCUCCAUGUUUUUGUCCCUUUUGGUUAGCUGACUGAUCUGUCUUUUUGGUCACCAGCGCUGAUCUCUCCGCCUCAGGUUCCUUCACCAGUCCCAUCAUGACUCUCUUUCGACUUUCUUCACGCCCCACCUCAACAAAAGCUUCUCGGAUGGAGGGUAGAGGAUUCUUUCCUAAUAUUCUGCCACGAACUUCAUCAAGUUCUUUGUUGAGUCCAUAAAGGAAAUCAAAGAGACGUUCUUUAUCCAACAUCCUCUUAUUUUGAUGGCAUCCUCAGAGCAAUGCCAUUGCGAUUCAUAGUAAAGGUCAAGUUCAUGCCAUAUAUUGUUUAGAGAAUUGAAAUAUUGAGUCACUGAAAGACUCCCUUGCUUUUGGUCACGUAAUUGUGACUUGAUUUCAAAGAGCUGAGCUGCAUUCCCCAGGUCAGAGUAAGUUUCUGUCACGGCUUCCCAAAGCUCCUUCGCAGAUGGUAGGAAGAGAUAAGUCCUACCAAUAUCCACGUCCAUCGAGUUGAUCAACCAAGUUUGCACCAUUGAAUUUUCAGCAUCCCACUGUGGAUAACCUGGAUCCAAGACAUCAGGGGCUUUGGUUUCCCCUGUAAUAUACCCUAAUCGGCCUUUGCCACGAAGAAAUAGGGUGACAGAUUGAGACCAUUGCAAAAAGUUUCUGCCAUUUAACUUGUGCAAAGUUAUUUGCAAAGAGGGGUUUUCGGUACCUAAGGAGACCGAAGAGAUGUCCUGCCUUGUUACAGAACUGGAGGAAAUCUCAGAUUCUUGUGUAGGGUUUGUUGUCUUCUCCAUUGGAUGGGUUGAGAGUUUAGAAUGAGAAAAAAAUUCAGAGGCUUAGUUUAAAAGAGUUGCUCUGAUACCAUGUGAAAAAUCAGACUUCUUCACUUGUAUUACAUUAGAGAAGAAUACAUAUUUAUAUACAUUACACCCUAGGAAUAAAAUGGUAAAAGAAAAAAAAGCUAAGAUAUUGCAAAUCAAUAUCCCUGAAAAUUAGGGAUUAUAUAUCCUAAAAUCUAGUAUUUAAGUCAACACAUAGCUGUAAAAUACAGCUAACAUCUACAACAAUAGUCAACACACAGCUGUAAAAUACAGCUGACAUCUGCAACAAAGAUAAUUGUGGUGAUGAUGAUGAUGUUGAUGGAGAAGAUGAAAUUGACAUGAUUGAUGAUGAAGUAACGAAGAAUUUGUAAAACACACACACACACACACACAGAGAGAGAGAGAGAGAGAGAGAGAGAGAGAGAGAGAGAGAGAGAGAGAGAGAGGAGAAGAGGAUAAAAAAAAAGAUAGAGAAAAACAGGAGAGAAAAUAAUAACAAAAACAAAAGAGGAAAAUAAUUAUUAUUGUUAUUAUUAUUAUUAACAAUAACUUUCUUAAUAACCAUAAUCAUAUAAUAGAUAAUAAAAAUAGAAGGUAAUAAUAACUAAGGGUAUUUUAAUAAUUUAAAUAAUUUAUUGUAAUUUCAAGGUAAAGUAAAUAUAUUAAUGAUAAUACAGUUUAUUUUAAUUUUGAUUCUUAUAAUUGAAGUAAAUAAUUUAUUUUAAUUUUUAUUUCACAUUUUAAUUUUAUUCUAUUCUGAAUUAGUAAACGCAUCAUAAAAUCAUGUGAUUCUACUCUAUAUGUGAGAUUGAUUUUUUUCUUUAAGGCCUACGACAUCCCAAUACAAGUCUAUAUAGGACCAAGCUACUAAGUGGACGGUCAUAAAAACUUAAAAAGGCAUAAAAUUGGAUGGCCGUCUAAUUAAUUUCCCGUGACCUACAACAAAAAUUUAAGAAGGAACUCCGAUACCAUCAAUUCUGCAUUUUAAUUUGAAGUUGGAAAACAGUGAAAACAGAAGGAUCGGGUGAUUUAAUUUUAUACAUAUUUAAUCAAGUAAAAAUGGCACGUGCGUUGUAAUUUGCCCAGUUAUCUUACUUUGAAUAAUAACAAAGUUCAAAUUUUGUAUUCAGUGAAAAAUCAAUUCUAUAGUGAAAAACACUAGCUAGAAAAAAAUCUAUGUCCUGAUGUCUUAGUUUAUAAGCUCAAACAAUGAAUAGUAUACAUACAACGCAUGAUAGAACACAAACUCAUAUAGAUUUUUAGUUUUGAAAUUCAUUUCAGAAAAUCUGUUCUGUUCAACAGGUUAUAGAUUAUCAACUAAACUCUGCCCACAUUCUUAGCUCUGCCAUUGGAAGUACGCAACUCAGCUGCCCAUCGACCGCCAAGCCAUCAAGACAAUACCAAGAUACAACAUCAAUAAUAAUAACAUCAAGAAUUACAUAGAGGCCGUCGCACGUUACACCCACUCCAACAGGAAACUAAUUAAUACCCUCCAAGCUCCUCUGUUUCAAAUCCAAAUCCACUGCUCGACCAUUUACUAUGACGUAAGGUAUAUGGAUUAAUUAACAAGUGCCGAUAUUGUCCUCCAUCCUUUUGUGUACCUUUCUUCUGGCAAGGCCUUUUCUGGAAAGUAUUUGAGCUCCAGACAAUUGCAGAAUUUCAAUUUGCUGAGGUUUUGAUGAUCAGCAAUUGAAGAAGACAGGUGUUAAUAAUUAUGAAGAACUGGUGUAAUUUAUAUCAUGUAGGAAGCCCUUCAGUUACUUUUUUGACCGUGCUCAAGCUCUUUUAAGGGCUAAUAUUAAAAUUUCGUGAUAUUGUGCCAAAAGAGCUUCGUACGUCAUUGUAAACUGUUCAUCGUUAUGUGCUGCUUCCCCAUUUAAUUACAUUUAUUUAACAUUUUAAAGAUGGAAGUAGAAAUUAAAACUCAGUUUUUCAGAUAUGGCUCAUAUACAAUGCAAGUAUCAAGAUUUAAUUAGAGUUCAAUAUACAUGCGUCUAGUUUUUAUUGAGAGAAACAAAUCAUAAAUACUCAGGUGUUUCUAAAUGAUUGAAUAACGAUAUUAUUGUUAUUUAUAAAUUUAUAAGGAUAAAUAACUAAUAGUCCACCAUAAAUACCGAAAAGGGUCCCCAGCAUAACUUGAACAACUUUACUUGUGUUUGCUCAUUGAAUAAUGUUAUAAGAAAGAAAUACAUAUGUCAGAAGAUUCAUAGUAUAUUGGAGUGUUUUUUGUACUUGAAUGAGAAUGAAUGAAGGUAUGUUAAUUUACUUUAAAUAAUUGUCUAAAAGGAAUAGAAAUGCUCUAUAACAUACCAAAUACUACCUUAAUCAAAAUUUAUUUGACAAAAAUUUUUAAAAAAUGGAAUAAUUAACCCUAAUUAAAUAAUUGUCUUAUAUCACCAAACUCUUUUUUUUUUAAUUAAGCCAUCACCAAACUCUGUAAAGCAUAAAAUAUAAUAGGCAAAUUUGAGUUAAAAAAAAAUGAAGUUAGGAAAAUGACUUGCAUAUUGUCUUUGAUGAGCGCAUAAUUUUCUUUUAAAAAAAAUGUUGAAAUGAACUCAAACUCGUUAGUGCAACUUGUCGGUUUUAAGUUGUAGAUACGAGUGACAUGUCAUUUUAGCUGAACUAGAUUCCAGAGCUCACAUUUGGGCAGUGUCAUCCAAGAACAUUAAAACUCACGUGACUAUUGCACGCAUGGUUUAAGCUGAAAUGACGUUGCUAGCAGUCGUUUAAGGAAGGCCUUUAAGUGUCACAUGAGUUGCUCGUGAUAGGAGGUUAAAAGCUGUUGGUUUUGGAGGGAAACCCCUGAAGCUGUUACGCCUGCAUCUUCUGGUAUAUAAACGAGCUGGUUCUGGUGUCAUAGUCAGUAAUCAAGGAAAGAGAGAUAAAGCAUCUGUACUGAGAGAAAAUCUUGACAGGGUGGUCUCUGUAUUGUGUAUAAUUUCUCUAUAACCUUGGAAGCUUAAUAAAACUGCUCUCUGUGUUGGUUUUCUCCAGUGGAUGUAGGCACCCUUCAACAGGUGCUGAACCACUUAAGCUCGGUGUGUUCUUUGUCUUUGGGUUAUGAUCUUUGAUCUGUGCAUUGUUCUUUGUUAACGUAAGAUUAGUUCUUGAAUCUUUGAGUCAGAGUUGGGUCUUGGGGUAAGGUUAAUCUAGUAACUAAAGGUUAAUUUCACAACAAUUGGUAUCAGAGCUCUAAACUCUGAUUUCAAGGUUCAAGAAUGGGUUCAAAAGUGGAUCUUGAGAAGUUUACGGGGCAGAAUGAUUUCAAUAUGUGGAAGAUCAAGAUGGAGGCUUUGUUGAUUACUCAAGAGCUGGGAGAAGCCAUAGAUCCAGUCACUAAGAUUGAAGAAGGUGAGGCUUCAUCAUCUAAGAUCCCAGAACAGGUAGCAGAGAUAGACAAGAAAGCCAGGAGCACAAUCAUACUAAGUCUUGGUGACUCUGUAAUUCGAGAAGUGGCCAAGGAAAGGACUGUUGCUGGUUUAUGGGCUAAGUUGGAGAACUUGUAUAUGACAAAGUCUUUGGCAAAUAGACUUUACAUUAAGAAGAAGAUGUUCUCACUGAAGAUGAUUGAAGGGGCAUCAUUAACAGAACAUGUUGAUGAAUUCAAUAAGGUUUGUGAUGAACUGGAGACUAUAGAUGAAGGGCUGAGUGAUGAGAGCAAAGCCUUGCUACUAAUCAGCUCUUUACCAAAGUCUUACGAGCACUUUGUGGAUGCACUGCUGUAUGAGAGGCAAACACUCUCCCUAGAAGAGGUUAAAUCUGCUCUUGGCACAAAGAAGCUGAAAGAUAAGCAAGAUAAUCCAGAAAGUGAAUCAAGUGAGGGAUUGAUGGCAAGAGGCAGGUCUGAGAAAAGAGAUAACAAUGAAAAAAGCAAGGCAGAUCAAAGUCUAAACAAAAGAAUUUGAAGUGUUUUCAUUGCCAUAAAGAAGGGCAUUUCAAGAGAGAUUGCCCUGAAAGAAAGAACAAGAAUAAAGAAACCAAAGAAAGAACAGGUAAUGCAGCCAUAGCCACAGAAGAAGAAUGUAACUUUGAAACAGCCGGAGUACUCAUUGCCACAAGUCAGAAACCUCAAGGUCAGUGGGUCCUUAACUCAGGUUGUACCUUUCAUAUGUGUCCAAAUAGGAGUUAUUUUACAACAUAUCAGCCAUGUGAUGGGGGUAUGGUUCUAAUGGGUAAUAACUCAAUGUGUAAGGUAGCUGGUAUUGGGACUGUUAGCCUUAGGAUGUUUGAUGGGGUGAUAAGGGAAUUGACACAAGUGAGAUUUGUCCCUGAUCUAAAAAGGAACUUAAUCUCAAUUGGCAUGCUAGAUCAAACAGGUUGUGUAAUUAAGGCUGAGAAAUGUGUAUUGAGGGUAAUUAAAGGAUCAAUGGUGAUCAUGAAAGGCAUAAAACAAAAUGGUCUAUAUGUGAUGGAUGGACAUACUGUUGUUGGGGAGGCAAGUGUGACUGACAGUAAAUGGAACAGAUCAAUGAUGUGGCAUUUAAGGAUGGGGCAUAUGAGUGAAAGAGGUUUGAGAGAGUUACAAAAACAAGGAGUGUUUGGGGAUGAUCAAAUAGGAGCUUUGGGGUUCUGUGAGGAUUGUAUUCUAGGAAAAUCCUCCAGGUUAAGGUUUGAGAUUGCAGCUCAUACCACCAAAGAGAAGCUUGAAUACAUACACUCUGAUUUGUGGGGGCCUGUACAAGUAAACUCACUAGGUGGAUGUAGAUAUUUUCUGACUUUUAUAGAUGAUUUUUCAAGGAUGGUUUGGGUCUUUGCACUCAAAAGCAAAGAUGAGGUUCUGGAAAAAUUCAAAAACUGGAAAACUUUUGUUGAGAACCAGACUGGUCUGAAGGUGAAAACUCUGAGGACAGACAAUGGCUUGGAGUAUUGCAACAAGCUGUUUGAAGAAUUCUGUGAAAAGAAUGGUAUUCAGAGGCACAAAACUGUCACCUACACCCCUUAACAGAAUGGCCUUGCUGAGAGGAUGAAUAGGACUCUGGUGGAGAAGGUGAGAUGCAUGUUAAUCUAUUCUAAGCUCCCAAAAACCCUUUGGGCAGAAGCUUUAAACACAGCAUGCUAUCUAGUCAACAGGAGCCCAUCAACUGCUAUAGAUUGUAAAACACCAAUGGAGCUUUGGUCAGGAAGAAGGGCUGACUAUACAAAACUCUGAAUCUUUGGGUGCACAACAUAUGCUCAUGUGAAGUAGGGUAAGCUGGAACCAAGGGCAUUAAAAUGCAGAUUUCUGGGGUAUCCGGAUGGGGUCAAGGGCUAUAGAUUAUAGUGUGUUGACACAAAACCACCACAGUGCAUCAUAAGCAGGGAUGUAAAAUUCCAUGAAGAAGAGCUAUUGAAUAAACCAAAGAGCUCAGAUAACAAUAUGGAAUCAAGCACUGAGACUGAUAUAGUGAAGUUUCAGGUGGAGCCUCAAAACUUGAAAGAACUUGAGCCUGAAAUUGAAGGUACUGAAGCAGAACCUGAAGCUGGUGUUGAACAUGAAUCAGCUGAAAGUGAAGAGAACACCUAUCAGUUGGCUAGAGACAGAAAGAAAAGGACAAUAAAGCCACCUAAAAGAUAUGCAGUAGUUGACUUGAUUGCAUAUGCUUUGAAUGUUGCUCAAGAGCUGAAUGAUGAUGAACCUAGGACCUAUCAAGAAGCUAUCACAGGCAAAAACAAGCUGGAAUGGAAGAGGGCAAUGGAUGAAGAGAUGACAUCCCUGAUUAAAAACAAGACCUGGACAUUGAUUGAAAAACCAGACAAGAGGAAAACAGCAAGCUGCAAAUGGAUCUUCAAAAUUAAAAAUGGUGUACCUGGAGCUGAACCUAGAAGAUUUAAAGCUAGAUUGGUGGCAAGGGGUUUUACACAGAAGGAGGGAAUUGACUUCACUGAAGUAUUUUCUCCUGUGGUGAGACAUGCUUCCAUCAGAGUUAUUCUUGCACUUGUGGCUGUGCAAGAUAUGCAUCUUGAGCAGAUGGAUGUAAAAACAACAUUUCUGCAUGGUGAGUUACAAAAAGAAAUUGUAAUGCAGCAGCCUGAAGGAUAUGUAGCAUCUGGAAAAGAAGACUAUGUUUGCUUACUUAAGAAGUCUCUGUAUGGGUUGAAGCAGUCACAUAGGCAAUGGUAUCUGAGUUUCAGAUAUUUUUGACAUGUCGGUUUAUAACCUUGAUUGUGCAUGCCCUGUCGGUUGCGUGAUGAAACAGGAGAAUAUUGACAUCUGUGUAUUAUCGUUUACUUCCUGCAAUUAAAUCACAUGUUGUUCAUUCCAUUUACACUAUACGGCACAUUUGGCAGUUGUUUUGGUCACUUAUUGAAGCACGGGUUAAGUACUUGAUUCAAGGUUGUUAACUGACCUUUACAAGGCGGGAAAAUUCUGGGUUUGUUAUAACAAACCCCGGAAUGCAGCUAGUGAGUGGGGACUUUUCUAGACUCUUCAUGAUAUGUAUAUAUAGUCUUAGAGGCUAUAGUUGAGACAUAUGAAAAGCUUCUUAAUGUUUGUAGUUUGAUCUCGGUGAUGGAGAUAAGAUUGCUGCCCUGUUCUUCAGUGGAUAUAGGCUAUCUCCAAGCCGAACCACUUAAAUUGUGCCUCUGUUUUGCUUGAUGACUACCAGUGGUGAGAAAACACCUACAGAACAAAUCAAGCUUGAUGACUCAAAUAUUAGGGAAGCCAUAGUCAAGGUAUCUGGUUUAUGCAUCAACAGUGGUUCGUGGACUAGAAUUCCUAUCUAUUGUCGCUUCACAAUUGCACUGGAAGAAAGCGAAUUUGAUCGAGCUUUGGAUCGCAUAGCUAAAUUCAAAAGCAUCGUACAAAUAGUUAACUAAAAGACGGUAUUGUCAUUUGUCAUGAUUUAUUUCUAUUGCCUGAUGAUGAUACCCAUCACGCCUUAGUUGUCGUGAAUAAAUCUAAAAUCAAAUUGAACUGGUUUUUACUGGUUAGCAACAAUUGUGACGUUUUGAGAUUAUAAUAUAUGACAACACUGAUUAGUGUUGUCUCCCAUGUGAAUUGAGACAAAAAUUAUUUUCCCAAUUGCGCUUUCAUUUGAACAAUUCCACUGUAGAUUUAUAAAAUAAUGAUCAAAUUGUGUUUUAUAUUAAGUUACGAGUAAUUGGUUAAACAUUAAUACAAAACUAUUUUAAGUAACAUGUGGCAUAUUCUAAUUCUAGCCAAGCUUCCAACUAAGAUUCCCAAAUCAAAAGAAUUUCAAUCUUCAGAACAUUCUGCAAAACGUUUAGUCUCUACGCAGUGCUAGAAUUUUCCCUAAGUUUCUAUUGCAAAGACUUCUAAAGAACUAUUCAGAUAUCGAGCUAUAAUCCAGUCUAAAGUGCAUAUAUCUCUCUAAUUCACCUCCCUCCAUUUCACCAGAAAAUCAAUAAACACUUAGCUUCAAACAAACACUCUCAAAAAGCUAGCUAGCUAUCCAGAUGGAAAAACCAAGAAUUCUUGCAAUGACAAUGUUGUUUCUUGUUAUGGCAGCAACAUUGAUAAACAUGGCAUCACAAGCAAUAGCUCUGAUGCCGUACACACAAUCACCUUUCUUUGACAUGAUGUUCCCAAUGACGGAAGAGCCUUUCAGGGUUCUUGAACAAACCCCUUUAACAAUCGCAAAAGGAGCUGAUCAUCAUCAAACUCUAGCCCUGGCGAGAGCAGACUGGAUGGAGACACCAACAGCCCACGUGAUCACGCUCGACAUUCCAGGGAUGAAGAAAGAUAAUAUGAAGAUUGAAGUUGAAGAGAACAGAGUACUGAGAGUGAGUGGGGAGAGGAAGAGUAAUGAUUAUUAUAAGGAGGGAGUUGAAGGAGAGAAAUGGCACAAAGCUGAGAGGACAUUUGGCAAGUUUUGGAGGCAGUUUAGGAUGCCAAUGAGUGUUGACUUGGAACAUGUUAAGGCUCACAUGAAAAAUGGGAUUCUGAGGGUCACAGUGCCAAAGCUUGCUGAGGAGAAGAAGAGGCAGCCUAAGGUUAUUAACAUUGAUGAAGAGUCUGGUAAUUCUUCCAAUGAAGAUAUUAAGGCUACCAAGGCUCAAAUGUAAUUAAUUAAAGAAAGAAGUGAUUGCUUUGCUUGAUGUGCUAUUUGUUUAUGAUCUUUUUUUGGUUUUGUUCCGAGAUGUUUCUAUUUGGAUGCUCUAUUUAAUGUAUGUUGAUGGGUUUUUGAGGAAGGCUUGUAUGUAUUGACAACCAUAAAAUACUUUUUAUAAAUCCUAGUCCUACAACACUAAAAGAAAACAAUACGUUUGGUUUAUAGUUAAUAAAAAUAUAUUUUUUUAAAAAAUUCUUUUUCUUUGGCAUAUAGUAUGCGUUUUGAGGGGAAAAAAAUUUAUCCCACUCCUAAUUUGUCAUCUGUGAUAUUAAUGUGUUAGCACGAAGAUUCAUUGUAAUUGCAACAAUUUUGAUGAAUCCAAACGUUCAAUAACUGUUAAAUUGUAUUUUAUAAAUACUAAUAGCGAAGGUACAGAAACGAUUAAUCCAAGAAGUUGCUUAAAGUGCAUUAAAUUAGGGAGUAUAAAUAAUUGUGUGAUACAGUCCAGCCUUUAUCUGCUUAUAAUUAGCAACCAAAAACCAUUUGCAACGCCAUUAAAAAAACAUUUUAACAUUAUUGCUGAGGGAAGAGGCAGCUUAGGCUUAUUAACUCGUAUUAUUAAUGCUGAUGACGCAGCUGGUAAUCCUUUUGGUGAAUAUAAUAAGGUAGCUGAAGCUUAUAAUUAUUUAAGCCCACUAAAGCUUAAAACUAAUUCUUCUAGUGACGAUGCUUUGCUUAGUUUGCUUUUUGUUUUUAAUUUUUUUGGGGCUAACAUUUUGCUUAUUUUGCUUUUAAAAUUCUAUUCGCGUUGCUGUGAAAUAUUGUUUGUCCUUCCAUUUUCUGUUUUUGUUGUUAUCGGAUUUGAUGAUGGUUUAUAUGUACGAAGAUUAUGUAAUAAAGUCUUUUUCUUUGGCCUUUAUUAUGCAUUUUAAUACGAAAAAAAAUUAUCCCACUCCAAUUCAUGAAGAUAUUCUCAUUUCUGUCAUAUUGAUGUGUUAAUAUAAAGAUCCAUUGCAGUUGGUGAAUUCAAAUAUUCAGUAACUGAUGAAAUUGUAUUUAUAAAUUCAUAGUAAUAGCAAUUGAAGAUUAUAAUUAAUUUUGUAAUAUGGUCAAGCCCUCGUGUGUUUAAUUAGCACUCAAAAACCACUUUACAAUAGUCAUUAAAAGAACAUUAUAACGUCAUUACUGAUGAGUUCUGGUGAAGAUAUUAAGUUAAGGCCACAAAAAUCGAAAUGUACGUGGCUUCGUUUGUUUUUUGUUUUGAUUUUUUUUGGGGGCAAAUGCUUGGCUUCGUUUUUGAUAUUUUAUUGGCUUUAUUGUGUGGCAUGUUCUUGUUUUCUUUUGAUUUUCUGUUUUUGUUUGUUAUGGGAUUUGAUGACGAUGUACAUGUACGAAGAUUAUGUAAUAAAAUGCUUUUGAUAAAUUGUGGUCGGUUUAGUAUUAAUUAACCAAAUUUAAUUUACUUGAUCAAUUGAUAUUUGUUAGUAUUGUUGUUAUACAAGCACAACAAAAGAAGAACACUAACGUACUAAUUAAUUACUAAUAAGAACAUUAACAAUUUUUGCCGAAGUCUGAUGAAGAGAAAUAUUACACAUACGUAACGGUACCGCGGAAGGAAAAAAUAAAAGAAACUGAAGUUUAUUUCAACAGCUACUCUUUCUUUACCUAAAUCCUGCACCUCUCAUACUACCAACAAGAUCGAAAACCUUAUCGAAUACUCCUACAUCCCAGACUCUGCCCAAAUCAGUGAAUCCACAUACCUCCAAUACAGUACCCCGUUGCUAAAAUAAAGCGAGCGUCUUACUCUACCUAACAUUUUUCUUUUUAUUAAUUUAAAACAGUUUUCAACUGAGAUUGGAAUUUUAAAAUUACGUACACAAACAUACCUGAUUUUAAAGAAAAAAAAUUCUAAUAAUAAAAUAUUUUACAUAUGUAACCAUACGGCGGAAGAACAAAUAUAAGAAACUGAAGUUUCAACAGCUGAGAAUGAGAUAAGCAUAAGAAAUUAAUUCAUUAAUUAAUUAAUAGAGUCCUCCUCCUUUGCUAAAUAAUGCGAGCCCAUUGUUCUUUUUAUUUCGAAAACCCAUUAAUCACCAACACAUAAUAUACGCCCAAUUUAAAAAAAAGAAACUAAUAAUAAAAUAUUUCAGUCCCUCUGUUGAGUCGUCCUCUGUGGAGUCGUCAUCAAAAACCCAUUUACUAGCUAUUUCAACAUAAGGUAAAUGGGUUAACAAGGCCCAAUAUUGUCCUCCAUCCUCUCUGCACUUCUCUUCUAUCAACGGACAAUCAUAGAUACUUAAUUUCAAAAGUGAGGAAGGCAGGCCCUUCUCCGGAAAGUAUUUGAGCUUGGGACAAUUCUUGAGAUACAAUGAAGUGAGGUUUUGAAGAUCAACAAUUGAAGAAGAUAGGCGUUCCAAAUUUGGAAAAUUGUAAAUCUCCAGAGACGUUAGAGAGGCAAGAAGAGGAAGCGCAGCCCCUAAUCUUUUGUCCUCUAGUGGAAUUGACACCAUGUCGUCAUCGCAUUCGCUGAUUUUAAAAUGUCGCAGAGAGGAGAAUCUGUGAAAUCCCCGGCCCCGCUCAAUCAUUGACUUCCAAAUCUCCAUAUUACCCCUGAUAUCAAGUGAAUGAAGGUUGGUGGGAAGGCCAUCUUCUUCAAGGCUUGGAAGCUCAACUCCUCUUCCUAUUGUUAAUUCUUGAAGAGAGGUCAGAUUGUGCAAUCCCUUGGGUAAGGCCUCUAGUCCCUUGCACCAACUGAUAUUGAACUUUAUUAGUUUCGCACAAGGCAAUCCCCCUUCGGGAAAGGACACCAGAUUUUUACAUUCCCAUAUUUCGAUCUCUUGAAGCUGGCGGAGAUUAUGUAAACCACUCGGUAAAAUCUUUAGAUUUUUACAAAAAUCAAUUCUGAUUAUUUCAAGCGAUGUGUUGUUGUCCAACCUUUCUGCUAUUGACUCCAGCUUUGAACAACUAAGAACUUCAAGGGACUUAAGAGACGGAGGUAGAUUGCCAACUUCAAGGGACUCAAGCGUGGCAGGUAACUCGUUUUUUGAAAAUAUACAUGUCAGAGAUGGACAUUCGCUAAUAUGCAAGCCCUCGAGAAGAGAUGAGGUGUACCUUCUGCUGCUGCUGCUGCUGCUACUCUGGAUGCCCUCUUCCACUGUCAAAGUCCUUAGAUUAUCACAAUUAUGGAUGUACAACAUCUUAAGGCUCGGUGGUAGCUGGACUCCAGCAAUAUAUGUCAACGAACGGCAACUCAAAAUCUCCAAGAUCUCGAGAGAUGAAUUGGUGUCGCACAUCCAUGCCUCUGGUAACAAUUUCAGUGCAUCACAAGAACUAAUAUGAAUUGUCUUCAACUUGGAAGGCAGAGCAACCUCAGGAAAGGAAACAAGGGAACUGCAUUGGUAGAUUUCUAUCUCUCUCAAGGAGCUAAGGCUGAGCGAUGAUUGUGGCAGCUUCACAAGGUCUUGGCAAUCUCUCAAUUCUAUAUAUUCGAGUCUGCAUGACAACUCGCAGAGCUGCUGUUGUUGGUCUUUCUCUUCCUCCGCCACCAAGGAUUGAAGUUUGGGACAGCUGCCAAUCGUCAAUCUUUUGAGAGAGCAAAUGUCUUGUAGUAAUCCAUCAUGACUCUUCCAUAUAUAUGUUUGCUCUUUUGUCGACAAAAUUAAUUCUUCCAAUUUCUGUAGUUGUGGUUUCAAUGGCCCCACAAGAAACACUUGAUUUGAUGCAUCUCUACAAACCACUGAAUUCUGUGAUCCGAGAUGACCAGUUGCACUUUCCCACACAACCUUUUUGCAUCCACCAAUUUCCAAUUUGCAAAGAGCUGGAAGACUCGAAACUGAAACUAACAAUUCUUCACAUCCUUCAAUAACAAGCAUCUCCAAUGCAGGAAGGUGCUCUGGAAAUGUUCCUUUCAGUUUAGAACAUUUUAAAAUGUGAAGUUCUCUCAAUUUAGGAAACCCUUCAACUCCUUGACUGGAUCCAUGAGGAAUCCAAUCUUCCCAUUCUUGCAUGUUUUCAAAAAGAAGAGUCUUCAAGCAUGGAAAUGGAAUUGGAGAAACAUUCCCAUAGAACUCUGAACCCAACCUCUUUACUCUGCUCAUUCCACAUACUACAAGAUGCUUUAAAGAGGGUAGUUGCCCGACUGACGGCAGGGCAGUACACAUGUCACAAUUUUUAAAUUUUAGGGUCACCAAAUUUGAGAAUGAGGAAUCUCCCAACCAAGUUGGAAAUUUCAUACCUCCAUAGCCUUUGAUACAAAAUUGCUCCAGAUUUGUAUGAGGUUUCAGCAUGUCAAGCAUGCCCAUUUCAGUUUCUGCCUCCCUUGAAGAAGAACCAUCGGUACUGCAAGUCCAUUUAAGCGAUAAUUCUUUCAGAUUCUUCUUUCCAUCCAUUUGAGCUACCAUGGCAUCACCAACGCAUUUUGCAUUCUCCAAUUUUGAAAUGUUAAGUGUCCCAUGAAGGUGCGUCAACAACUUUAGCUCUCGUAACCCGGAACCACUGCCUUUUCCCACAACAAAAUUACACAACGUCUGAAGACUAGUCAACCUACCAAUUCCUAGUGGCAUUUCCUCCAACGACUUCGUAUUUGAAUUCUUAAGAUGAUGCAAUUUGGCGAGGUUUCCCAUGUCUGCACACAACUUCUUCAGCCGAUCACAAUCUUCCAACAAAAGGCUAUGCAAAUUGUAAAGCUUGUUGACUGAGUCAGGCAGAGUUCUAAUCUCAGUUCCAGACAGGUUAAGGUACCUUAAAUACCUCAAAUCACCAACUGAAUCCGGUAGCUCGAAGAUGUGGUAUCCACGCAGAGAGAACGCCCUCAAGCGUUGGGGUUUGAGCAACUUAGGAAGAAUGCUAGGAGCCAAGUAGCCAGGCCCACUAUUUGUCAACAUUACUGGUAAAAAAGUUCUCAAAUGUUGGAUAUCAUACAAGUCCCCGAACCUUUGAACGCCAUCAUAAUCUCCACGAAUGUAUGAUAGGUGACGAAGAUUUCUGGAAAAACAUUGUUGCUUGUUAACCUCCGAGGUAUACUCCAGUGUGAAGUAUGUCUCCCCUGCAGCCCAACGGGCAAGGUCGUUGAUAAGAUCGUGCAUAACAAAUAGUGAUGCAUCGGUGGCCGAUUGCUGCAAAAAAGAUCUUGAACGUAGCUCCUUAAAGAAAUCACGACCUAAAUCUUCACUAGGAUUCUCAUCUUCUUUGUGAUCCAAAAAACCGGAGGCACACCAUAAUAAAAUUAUCUCCUCCUCUUCAAAUUCAUAAUCCUUUGGAAACAAUGAGCAGUAUGCAAAGCAUUGUUUCAAAGUUGGAGGAAGAUAAUAAUAGCUCACUGCAAGGGCUGGUAUAAUGCCACACCUCUUUUCUGAUAAUUCCCAUAUCUUGCUACAGAGCACACGUUCCCACUCACGUCUGUCAUGUUUUCCACGUAAAAGUCCUCCAAGUGUUUGUGCUGCCAAGGGCAAGCCAUCGCAUUUGGUCACUAUCUUCUUGCCGAUUUCCUCCAAUAACUUAUGUGACCCCAAAGAAUGUUGAGCGAAUACAGCCAGACAAUCAUUAUCUGACAACUUUUUUAAUUGAUAAGAUGGAACAGUACCCAUGAUUUCUGCAACCUCUUGAUUGCGAGUAGUGACAAUAAUUUUACUUCCUGGUGCACCAACUUCAAAUGGACGUCUGAGUUGAACCCAAUCAUCGUAAUUCCGGUUCCACACGUCAUCCAAAACAAGCAAAAAUUUCUUUCCAGACAGUUGCUUACUCAGUUCCUUUUGAAGUGAAUUCAAGCUGGGAUCACCCACGUUCUGGCUAGCAACAAUGGAUGUUAAGAUUGUUUUUGUUAGCCUCUUAACGUCGAAAUCAUCAGAGACACAAGUCCAUGCCUUGAGAUCAAAAUGAUCCUGCACUUGCUUAUCAUUGUAGACAAGCUGAGCAAGAGUGGUUUUGCCCAGCCCGCCCAUACCUAUAAUAGGAAUAACAGAGAAUCCACCAUCGUUGCUUAAAUCAUCCCUCAACAGCAGUUCAACAACAUCCUUCUUUUCUGUUUCCCUGCCAUAUACUUUGGCUUCAUCCACCAAAGAGGUUGUCUCUGGCCUUUGACUGGCUUUUUUGGAUCCCCCAGCUGAACUUUCUUUCAAAUCUAGCAAGUUUUUCUUUGUCACAAUUUCUUGAAAUCUGCUGUCGAUCUCUUUGAUUUUGGACAUCAAGUCAUAAUCGAACUGAGUCGAUUGUGGAGUAAAAAUGGUGAAGCAAGUAUGAAUGAACUUCCGAAGCUUACUUGGUCUCGUAUGACUGCUACUGGGUUGAUCAUGAGCAGCAGCUGGUUCUCCAUUUCCAAGCGGCAACCUCCUCCGGAAAGCCUCGGUUUGAAACUCAUCCAACAAGUCUUCAACAUCAUAAGCCAAGUUCUGAAGCUCGCCAAGCCACAAAUUCACAGACGGAGCCGUCCUCCUCUUCUCCUCAGCAUCAUCAAGCACUGCCUUGAUCAUCUCCAACAUAUUCGCCCACCUCAUCAGAUCGGCCUCGAUCUCCUUUUGGCGUGCAAAAAACAGAACCCCCUCUGAAGCUAACUUAUUGACCAGCAAAUCAACGGACGCCGUAAGGAUUGCCUCUCCGAUCAUUGACAUUUUUUUUUCCUUUUUUGGGGCAAAGGAAGAAAGGAGCAGAAUUAUGCGUUAUGGAAAGCAGAAUGAGAAAUUUGAACGGGUGAGAAAAUGGAUAAUUAAGCAGAAUGAGUUUGUGAUUGUGAAGGGUCUGGCCCAACAAGCUUAGUAGAAAUCACGCGUUUAUACUUUAUUGACCAAUGACUAAUAAUUUGCCAAUUCACUCAUCACCACCACUUGGUGAGCAAAAUGAAAAUGCUUAGUAAUUAAACGUGGCAAGUCUCCCCACUUGUUGUUCCUUGCAGCUAAGAAAAGAAAAAACAGAGCCGUAAUUAAUGACAGAAUUUUAAAAAUAAUAAUAAGAGAAAAACCUACACAUUUUCGACUUAGAGUGGAACCGUAAUUAAUGCUAAAAUUUACUCAGCUAAAAUUUUCAAAAUAUUGUUCUUUAUAAUUUUCAAAACCGUAAUUAAGGUUCAUCUCAAAUGUUUGAAGAGACUCUAUCAAUUCUUCUGCGCUAAGAAUAUUAAAAUUCUUAUUUUUUCUUCAAACGUUGAAUAAUGAAAAAAAAUGUUAAAUAUGGAGAAAAAUAGAAUGCAUCCAUCUUUGCUGUAGAAGUCUUCUACUUAUAAAAGCAAGUUAGAAUAAACGAUUUUAAUCUCUCUUUUUAUUCCUGUAAGUGCACUACAUUUUUUUUGUUUUAAUCUCAAUGUGAAGUCGUAUCAUAAUGUUAUGUUAAUGUUAUAUUCUUGUUGGAAAAUGAAAUUUUAGAUAAAACAAAUUCGACUCAUUUGUUGAAGGUAUAUAUUUAGUAGGUUGCUAACAUAAAGUAAAUGAACUAAAAGACAAUACUACCAGCGAUAAUUUAGCAAGUUUCGCAUGCUCGUCUUUCUUGAAAUAUUAUAUGGGAAUGGGAUCAAACAACAGUGAUACAAAGAGAAAAAUGGUAAUCCUCUGAUUGUAUUUUUUUUUUCUUUUUCAAAAGAGAUGGUGGGGUUGGGUUGUUUGCAAAGUUAUUAGUGUGGGUCUAUUUAAAAUGUUAAGAAAUUUUAUGUCCUUUUUUCAAAGUGAAUUUCCAUUUUUCAUUUCUCAUUAAGUAAAACCCACAGCAAAAUUAAAAAGAAAAAACAGAGCCCACUAUAAAUAUAAAAUCGAAGGAGCUCAUAAUUAUACCUUUGCUUUACAUACUAAAUUAAAUAAAAGCCGAACCAAGAAUCUUGCCUUUACUUAACAUGAUUAAUUAGACACUACUUCAGAGAGAAUACGAAAGCAAAGAACCCUUUUGUUAAUCUUAAAUGUUAGGAAAAUAAUUAGCUUGGAAUAAAGCUGCGUUAUUCUCCUCUUACCGUCUCUUCAGGUUCAUUUCAAAAGUUUGAAGAGAUUUUAUCAAUUCUUCUUAUAAAGGCAAGCUAAAUUAAAAGAUUUUAAUCUCUCUUCUUAUUACUAUAAGUGCACUGCUUUUUUUUUAUAAUCAACAAUGUCAAUUUGUAGUGUAAUAUUAUAUUCAUAUUCCUGUUGCGUCGAAAUAAGGUAAAAUGAAAUUUUAAAUCACACAAAUUCGACUCGUUUGUUAAAGGUAUAUAUUUAAUAAGCUAAUAACAUAAUUAACAUAACGCUAUUAUUACACUAAAUGAAAUAAAAGACGGUACCCUCCACCAAUAAUUACAUUAGCAAGCUUCGCAUGCUCGUGUUUCAGGACCUAGACAUUGGCGAAUUAAUCUAGGAUAACGAAACAAUUUCAAAAAGCAAAAUGGAUACUAUACAUUUUCUUUUUUUAAUUGUACAGAAAACGGGACUAAUUUUCAAAUAUUUUUAAAUUCACUUAUUUACAAAAGCUAUACAAAAUGAUUUCCUUUUUAUUUUUGAUGAGCAUAAUUUACAUACAUAUUUUACUAUUUAUUAUAUAAUUACUAGUUAUUUUUAUUUGUUAUUUUAAUUAAUUGAAUUAUUUUAUUUCAUAGGAAAUUAAUUGGAGAUUAUGGAUGAAAAGUGCGUAAAGAAUAACAAUUUGACAGCAUUGAAGAUCAAAUCAAUUUGCGGAAGGAAUUAAGCAAAUGUGCAAGAAAUUCUAUUCGAAGAAACCGAAGCCAAUAAAUUGAAUAUCCAUACUCGUGCAAACAAAGAAGAAGUUUAAAACUAAAGUGGGCAGCACAUUAAAAAAAGCUUUUAAUUAAGUCUUUGAAUGGAAAGUCAAAAUAGAAUAAAGGAAGGAAAUCAAUAGCUUUUGGCUUUUAUUGUUUUCAAUUACGUGGCAGGCUUAGAGCUUUAGCUUGUAAGAGUUGGUUUGGUUAUUAUCACAAUAGGAUUUGGUGGCCAAGCAAUAUAAAAGGGAGUUUUGCUUUUGAAUUAAAGGCUGGACGGAAACAAAAGGGAGGAGAAUUCGGCUUUGAACAGAGAGCAGCGGCAACGGCAAUAUUUCGGCUUCCAUGGCUGAAUUUAUUUCUUUUGUUGCUCACAAUUUAAGUAUGUCUAGCUAAUUUUCUUAUACUGAGGUUAAGGAUGAAACCCUAUUCAAUGAAAUAAUUAUCUUUUUAUUUAUUUAAUUCCCUAUAUAUGUGCUUUAAUGUUUAUGGUUUUUAUUUCACAUGAUUAAUUGGACGUUAUUAAAAUCUUUUCAUCAAUUCUGUCAUGCAUUAUUAAUUGUUAGGAUUAAUAUUCAAUUAAUUCUAUACUUGGAUCUAUAAAGUUUAUACAUGAUUAUCUUUGAUUUUAUGUCUUUCAUUAAAUUAUUUACAUAGAGUGCUUAGGAAAACUUUGACUCUUUGUUAUUUAAUAUGUUUACAUGAGAUGCUUACAUGUCAUACUAUUAAGUAGAAAAAGAACCUACAUUACAUUUAAUUUUAAUUGGGCUUAAUUGUUAUAUUUAUGAGAUGACAUAGAUUGAUUUUGAGUUGUCACUCUAAAAUUAGGGAUUCAUUAAUAUUUGGAUAAUUACAAAUUAAAUAGUGGUGGAUUCCGAAACCUUGAUAAUUUUUAUUUUAUUGAUUUCUCAUUUGCUUUAAUUGUUUUCUUAGUUUAAUAAGUUUAAUUUCUUUUAAAAAUUCAAAUUACUCAACUAAGUUAGGAUUAAUAUUAAUUUUAGAUUUAAAUUAGACUUUUCAAUUUAUAACAAUCCAUGUGGGAUUGACCUCGUUACUACUAUUCUAUUUCUAGAUUCAUGCGCUUGUAAGUAUAUUAAAACUUUCACAACAAUUUUGAAAGGAAUCAAAUAACAGUGAUACAAAGAGCGCAAAGUUGCAAUUCUCUUAUUAUAUUUUUUCUCUUUUUUAAAAGGAGAUAGUGGGGUUUGGUUGGUUGCUAAAUUAUUGGUGUGAGGGUCUAUUUGUUUUUGUUUUCACUUUAUUAAUUAUACCAAGCAAACAUGUAAUCAUUUGUAAAGGGGUCACUAGCAUUGGAUUAUGUAAGAUGAAUUCAUAAGACUUAUUAAUUUCGAUGAAAAUGUAGCGUUAUUAAGUUGUCAAUUCAUUAACUUGAGGUACUAAUAUUUACUAAUUGUGGUGAUUAAUUUAUUUAACUUGUCAUAAUUUUCAAUUGAGAAUGAAGUUCAAUCAAUGUAUGAAAAAAAUAAUUUUUUUAGAUUUUUAAUUCCUAUGAUUUAAUUUCCCCCUGUUUCGAUUAUUGACGUGUUAAAAGCUUGUAGAAUAUCAUGAAAUGCUUGUAUCUCACCUCGCAAAUUGACAAAUAUUGGUUGGUUUCUCCAAAGGCUACCAUAAUGAAUUGAAAGUAAAAACAACAACCAUUGAAAAUUAAUUUUAAAAUCAUUUUUACUUGAAAUUUUUUAAAAGAAAAAUUAAGCAAAUUAGAUUACAGAUAUCAAUCUUAAUAUUUUGUUGAUGAAAAUUAAUUAAUUUAUCUCAGUACUUUCUUAAUUUUGUGUUGUGCACCGCAUUGGUCACUUCUGAUUGUGUUGCAUAUUUGUUAAUUCAAAGAAAUAGAACUUCUUUAUCGAUCAAACUUAUUUUAUUAGUAUUCUUCAUCAUAUGGUUAAUGGCUUAGCCAAUGAAGGAGAAGGGGUCAGCCAAAACAAAUAAAGUACUUUCUCAUGCAUUAACCUUUAUUAAAAAGCUUUAUUAACUGUUGUAGUUAAAAUAAUUUUAAAACAAGUUAAAACAGUUCCAACUCAAAAUCAGUAGGCUGCAAUUGGGUUGUUACACAUAUUUCUAAAUUUCAGUCUAAUUUAAUUGUGUAUGGACAAACUAACUUUAUCACUUCUUUCAUAUUAAUACUCAUAAAUUUCAACCUUUUUUUAUGAUGAUGGACAAUCUAACUUAACAAAAAUAAUGUUCAAAUUAUCACAAAAUGUUCUUUUCUUAAAAAAGAAAAGAAAAUCAUAUAUAGUAGUUAAUUUUUCUUCUUCUGUACUCCAAGAUCCAACUCCGUACUCCACUUGUUCGUUGUUAUUAUACCCAGCCAUUAGAUUUUAAUUACGUUGAUUUAACGGUUUGGAUUCGUAAAUGAAUAACGACGUAAAGUUUGGCUACCAUCUGAACCCACCGCAUCUAAUUGGUUUUGUGAUUUUUUGCUUUCUUCACUGCAACGCUUGACUAGUUCUGGAAAUAUCGACCGCCAUCAACGGCAAAUCUGAACCAUGUAUUAUUUGCGAAUACAUUCAUUAAACUAUUAAACAUUCAGAGAAGAAAGCAAACCGUGGCAGUAUAACAAAAACUGCGAAUGGUCAUUCCCAACACGAACCCCUAUGGUUGUUUUCCUUUUAAUUUUCUUCUUUGAAUUCUCCUUUUAUUAAUCAUUAGAAAAACUCCAUUUUUUUUGUUUUAAAUCAUGUGUUAUUAACAUUUACAUGGUUAAUGUCAUCGAAAUCGAAUGGUUGUUAUCUACGAAAAGAGAAUUGCUAGAAAUUUUGUUAGUCCCAUUGCAACAAUAUAUUGUUAUAAAUUGCAUUGUUUUCCAUAUAACAAAUAUAAUAAAAUCUCAAUAAAUUAAUAGUUUUUGGGACCAUAAAAAAAUUAUUAAAAUUAAACAAAUAUCAAUUAAUCAGUAAAUUAAUAAAUUAUUAAUUUAUGAAAAUAUUCAUUAUUUUGGAAAAACAUGAUCACGCUUUUAAUAUUGAUUUACCUUGAGUUAGUAUCUAUUAGGUUUUAUUUGUCUAUUAGUUUUCUCUUGGGAAGAUUUUUUAAGAGUUAGCUGCUUUAUAUUAACAGUAAUAAAAUUAUUAUUUAACGGUUUUGUUUUUCCAUGCUAAAGACCGAUUAGUCGUCUUCUUCUCCUCAGCAUCAUCAAAACCAGGGUUUUUAACUCCUAAAACGUUUCUUUUUAGAAAUAUAUUACUUUAUUCAUCUAAUAUGUUAUCUAACAAAUAGACACAGAUGAAAUCACUCUAAAGUGAAGAUGAAAGGGGAAAAAAAACAUUCCAACCACCAAUAAUUUAGCAAGCUUCACUUUUAUUCCACCAAAGUGUAAAUAGUGCCAGCCCCCACCACCAUCAAUAAUUUAGCAAGCUUCACACGCUUGUUGUCUUCUCCUUGACGAACUGGACGUGGGUGGACCAAGAAUCAAUGAAAGAAUUUUAAAAAUAAUAAUAAAAGAAAAACAUAAACAUUUUGGACUCGGAGUAGAACCGUAAUUAAUGCUAAAAUUUACUCCGCUAACGUUUUCAAAAUAUUGUUCUUUAUAAUUGUACAGCAAAUAAGACUAAGUUUUGGACAUUUUCAUAUUCACUUACUUUCAAAAGCAGUAUUUCGAAACAUUUUACAGAAUCAAGUAACAGUUAUAUAACGAGAAAAGUGCAAAGUUGUGUAAUUCUAAUGUUUUUUUUUUUUUAUCACAGACACUCAGAUAAUUUUUUAUUUGGGUCGCCAACUCGCCAAUUAACCCAUGAUUGAAUGAGUGUUUAGAAAGAAAAUCAAUAAAAAACAGUUUUUUUUUUGGUCGUCGAAAUAUAGUAAGUGAGAAAGAUUAUUCUGUUUUUUUUGUUAAUUAGGUUAGUAAUUAUGAUUGAGUGACUCAGAACUAUAUUCUAGAUUGAGAAUCAACGGUUCUCCCACACUGAGAGGCUGUAAGUUUAAGAUUGUCGUUUGCUAUUUCAUCGACAAGAGAACACUUGAAUUUAUUAAAAGGAGAAGGCCAUAAAGAUUUUCCUUUAUGAGAAAUGUAUCUGAUCAUUCCUUUUUACUUGAAAAUUUCAUAUAUAAAAACUCAUUAAUAAAUGACAGAAUAUACAUAAAUUAUUAAUUCAUUUGAUAGUUGAUUAUCGAAGGACAUGUGACCCAUGGAAGCAUGCAGUCUAUAAAAUAAUUCUUUUUUUUUUUUAACAAAAAAUUGGUGAUGUUGAAAAGCAAAAUUAUUAUUUCUCUAAUUAGGGUGAACAUUCAUAAAAAGAAUGCCGUAUGAAACUAAAUUAUUAAUUCGUUUGACAUGUGACCCACAAUAAAUAGUUAAAUUUGGCGGCAACAAUAAUUACAAGACGAACUUAAAGCAGCGCAUAGGUUUUUCUUAAAAAUACAUAAACAAUUCGAUAUUUUUUAUUUGACAGUUUUUAAGAAAUGUCAAACAUAUAUGACAUUUUGUGAAAAACUGAGUAAUUGUGAAAUAUAAAUGAUAAUUUAUUUAAACGUCAAAUAAUUGUGACGUUUUAUCAAAUAAGUGAUAAAUAUCUUACAUAUUUAUUGAAUAAUUAUCAUUUACCUUUUCCUUUUAUUGACUCGAGCAAAAAAAACAAAAAAACUGACUAUACUGCUUUUAUUUUCGUUCUUAGAACAGAUUUUAGUUUCUUUUGAGAAAAUUCAAACUCAUUCCCAUUACUUUCUUUUCAAUAAUCACCUCUCAGUUUUUCAUCAAUCACUCAAUUCCGAAUUUCAUCUCCAUUCUCUUUUGAAGAAGAACGCACGAAGAAUUUUAGCUUGCUUUUGCUGCUUCUCGAAUAUUGGGUAUUGUUUCCUUUAAUUUAGAUAAUUGUUUUUUAUAUCUCUCUUUCUAGUUUGAUAAUUUAUGGUUAUACUUGAAUUAAUUGUAUUUUUAAUCAACCAAGGUUGAUUUAAUUGAUUCCAAGUCUCAAUUUCCUGUUCAACAAUUUUCAUACUCAAUUUUGAAAGAAUCAAUGUAUUUUAUCUUUGGUUAGUACACUUCUGUUCAAUUUUUGUUUAUUUAACUUAAGAUAUCUUUUUCUUUCUUUUCUUCAAGCAAAUUAUAGAUUAUAUUGAGAACAGAGUUUUCUCCUUAAUUCCGCCAAGAGCAACGUUGAUUUCAGGUGAUAAUUGAAUGUGUAAUAUUUUCAAUUGAAAUUAAUUGAGUCUCGUGAUAAUAAUAGGGAUUUGAGAUUUACAUCCUGUUGAAAUGAUUUUAGAGUGUUCUGUUAUUUGAAUGCGCAUUAAUUGUUUGAUUAAAUGUCUCUUUAAAAGAUUAUUUUUGUUUUUAGCAAACAUCUUAAUGCACUUUACAAAUUGAAUCCAACAAGGGAAAAUUAUAGAACUGCAGCAGUUUUCAAAUUGAUUGCAUAUUAGAAGUAAUGUUAAUUUAUGCUGCAACAGUUCAAUGGGCUGGGCACAAGUUUAGGACUUCAGUUGCUCAAUUAAUGAAUCCACCACUCAUCAGACUUGGAACUUAUAUCUAUUGAAUCAAUAAAAAUAGUUGAUGGAAUCAAUGCCGAAAGCUUCAUUUGAUAUUUAUUUAUAACAUCUGUUAGAUUCUGGACAAUCACAAAGAUAUAGUAGCAGAAACUAUGUUAGAGACACUAUAGUUGCUUAAUUAGUGAAAUUGUGCUCUCAUUGCCCCCUUUUUUUGGUUGAUUCUAUAAUUUUAUUAGUUGUUCUUGUGGUUGUAAACAAUAUCAAUUUCUAAUAUUAAUAAAACUGAAUGAAUAAAAUGCGAUGCAUUUGCAGGAAAGUUAAUAGUUUAAAUAUGGAUAAAUCUUGGAUGUUGAUGGAUAGAAGGUCUAUAGAAUAUGAGAACAUGGUAAAUGAGUUUCUCAAGUUUGCAGUACUUCAUGCUAGUCAUCUUGAGCUUUUGAGAUGUCCAUGCCAAGCAUGUCUUAGUUUAUAGGCUCAAACAAUUAACAGUAUAGAAAAUGCAUGAUAGAACACAGAACUCAUAUUUUAGCAACAAUCCUCAGCUCACUGGCCCUUAGUUCAGAAUGACAAUUCUUAUUAGCCAAAGGUUCAAAAUGAUUUUUAGUUGUUUAUAAGUAGAGAACUAGAUCAACAAAUAAUUGAAGACCUGCAGCUUGGCUAUUGAACUAUACGAUGAUGCCAAUUCGAAGACUACAACUUGGCUCUGCCAUUCGAAGUAAGCAACGCAGCUGCCCAAAGUCUGCCAAACCAAGAAAAAUAAAGACUUCUCCUUAGCAAUUAAGUUAAUAUAAGGAAUGUUGCAUGUCCACAAAACUAGGUAGACGCAACUGGGACUUCAAUAUAUAUAUAGAUAUAUAUAUAUAUAUAUAAGCAUUUCCUAGAUCAAUAUUAUUCUCAGUAACUGAAUAUUGAAGCUGACCAUCACAUUUAAUAAUAAAUCAAUAUCAGGAAUGUUGUUGAGGAGUAUUUUGAUAUUUACAAAAGUGUUCAAAGUAAAAAUUGAUUUCUUAAAACCCAUUAGCUAGCGCACAUAAUAAUGGGGAGAAAAUUUUAGACUACGAAUAGUCCCACCCAUUUAAUAAUAUUCUUCAAUCAAUUAUGUUUACUUCAAAAAAAAAAAACCAUCUCUUUAUUACUUUCUAACUAUUCAUAUUAAUGUGUUCAUAAUUAUGAAGAACCGGUGUAAUUUAUAUGAUGUAGGAAGCACAUUAGUCAAAAUCAUCAGAAUCUCAAAAUUUCGUGAUGUUGUGCCAAAUAUGCAAACCAAAGCUUCCUACAUUCUUUGUACGUUUGUGUUAGUUACAAGCAAUCACAGUGGUAAACGAAAAAAAACGAAUUAAAACACAUGAGGAGAUUUAAAUGAAAAUGUCUUAAUCAUAUAUCGCAUGUAAGACCUUUUGUACUCAAAACUGAUCAGCACCCAUUCUGCCCGCCGUGUGAUCACAUCUUGAAGGGAGUGUUGCUUCAGCAUUUUUAUCAUUUUUACUAUUUCUAGGAUCCAUUUUGUCACCUCCCUCCCUCCCCCCGGUUUCUAAAAUAAUUAUAUAAUAACCAUAUAAUUAUUGGUUGUUCUAGCAAAUAAAAAAAAUAUAUAUAUAUAUAUAUAUAUUAAUCUUUUAAUAACAUUAUCACUUUGUCAAAAUAAAAAAUCUCCUCAUUAAAUAAUUAUAUUAUAUAUAUUCAUUUAUUUAUCCAAAUAAAAAAGUAUGAAGUCAAAUAGUACACAAUAAUUUAACUAAUUUGAAUUGGUUUAUUUUUAAUGAAACAAAUAACAUUCCUAAAUGCUUCUCUUGAUCCUUAAUUUAUUGAUAAUUUUGUCAAUUUAAGGUCGGCUAUAUAUUGAUUAAAUUACAAGCUUAGACUAUCGAAAGCUGGUUACAGUUAUGGAGGCAGGAAAAAUUUUAUUGUACCAGAAAUUUUUUCUACAACAGUCCAUGCAAAGUAAACAUUUGUAAGGAAAUUGGAGAAUAAUUACAAAGCCAACUAAAUUUUAUGAGAAUCAAUUUGGAGUUUUUGUUAAUCGCCAUUUUGCGUUCAUACAAAGCAAGUGUAGAUACCGGCACAAUAAGCUAAAUGCAAAAUCCAAUGUAGGACAGUGGGGUUGGGACAACGAAAUGGGGAAAUGGGAAUCUAGGUAAUUGCACUGAACCUUAAACUGAGAGUACGGGCACUUAAAAUUUUUAAAGUGUCUAAUAAGUUUCAGCUAAAAAGGAAAUAGGCUGUAAAAUUGCUAAAUUCAUUUUGAUUUCUAAAUUCAUAAAUAACCUUAAAAGUUCUCUGAUACAACUUGUCAAUAAUGGUGAAAAUUCAAUUUCAGAAUGACAAUUCUUAUUAGUGAAAGAAUCAAAAUGAUUUUUAGUUGUUUAUAAAUAGAUCACUAGAUCAACAAAUAAUUGAAGACUGGCUUGGCUAUUGAACCAUACGCGGCAAUUCGAAGACUGAAACUUAACUCUGCCGUUCGAAGUAAGCAACUCAGGUGCCCAAAGGCUGUCAAGCCAUCAAGACAAUACGAAGAUACAACAUCAAUAAUAAUUACAUAUUACACCUACCCCAAUAAGAAAUUAGUUAAUACAGUCCUAGAAAGAAAUUUACAAACCCAUGCUGUAGGAAUAAUUAAUUAAUUUAUACAGUUCGGUACUCAUUCCUCUUCUGUUUCAAAUCCAUAUCCACUGCUCUGCCAUUUAUUACUACGCAAGGUAUAUGGGUUAGCAAGUGCCGACAUUGUCCUCCAUUCUUUAUGUGCCUUUCUUCUAUCAAGGGACAACCCAAGAUCUCUAAUCGCAAGAAAAAUAUUUCAAAGUAAAAAGUGAUUUCUUAAAAUCUAUUAGCUAGUGCACAUAAUAAAAGGCCAUUCAUGGUAAAUUUUAGAUUACAAGUAGUCCCAAUAAUAUUCUGCAAUCAAUUCCGUUUAUUUUAAAAUAAAAGAAAUCCAUCUCUUUAUUACUUUCUAAUUAGUCAUAUUAAUGUGUUAAUAAUUGUGAAGAACCAGCGUAAUUUAUAUGAUGUAGGAAACCCGUUAGGCAAAAUAACCUGAAUUUUUUAAAGUAGGGGCUAGACAUAUUGGGCAUAACCUCAGUUUCUGUUACUUCUUUGACCCUGCCUAAGCUCUUUUAUGGGCUAAUAUCAAAAUUUCGUGAUAUUGUGCCUAAAGAGCUUCCAAUUCAAGGAGCUCCCCUGUUUUUGACUGAAACAUAUGUAAUCCGAAAAAUUUAUAAUUAGAUAAAUCAUUCAAAAUCUCCCUGAAUCUAACCCACAUUUCUAUGGUUUAAUAACAUAUCACAAAGGUGCCUAAUAUAAUGAAAUUAGCACUAGUUCACGAGAUUGCCAUUAUAUAUUACAAGUCUUUUUAUGAUGUAGAUUAGAAGGGAAAAUACGAAGGACAUAUUAUAUAUUAUAUAUGAUUGAAUUUAAUCCAUGAUAAUUAGACAAAAUAACACUAAUCUAGCUAACUAAUCCACCCAUCAUAAUAAUUUGAUUUUCAUUAUUUUAUUGUGUCCAAUCAUGCUAAUUUAAUAAAAAAAAUACAGAACACUUGAGGAUUUAGAUAUUCAACAACUUUGGCCAAGUUUGAAAAAGAUUAGAGCUUCCUUCAUGCUUUGUGUUCUUAUGUUACACAUGAUCAUAUUAUGUUACAUUUGACAGAAAACUGAAAAUUAUUGAAAAAAAAAAAUCUUAGUUAGCACAUGAUCAAAAUGAGAGAUUAAUGCACACACAUCACAACAAUGUUUCAUUCAUUUUGAAUCUAUAUUUACAAAACUUGUAUCCGAUGGUUUACAUUUGUUUAAUCUAACUGCUAUGACAUGUGUACUGUCAAAACGCUACAGCUGCCAUCUCUGUUUGUCCUUGUUGCAUCCUUGAUCUUAUAUUAUCCUGGAGAUUAUUGAAUGUUCUUCUCAUUCUCAUGUGCUCGAGGGUCCUUUCUUGAGACAUUUCAGCAAACACCUGAUUCAUCCUAUUAAACAUUAGCAUCAUUAAUCAGUAAAUGAUGUAAGGUAGCCCUGUUUCGUGAAGUCAACAUAAAUCAGUCACCUUAGAUUUUCUGAGUCUCAGAGCACAAUGGGUGAUGAUUUGAUGAGAAAUAUUAAUAUGCCUUCAUCCCCUGAAUUAGCUAGAGCUGGUUGUCAUUUUCUUCUUUCUUUUGGUACGGUUUUAGAUUUUUAAUCAAUCAGAUUCAGCUGCAUGUUUGCUUUUAGUCCAAACCAAAAUAAGAUAUUAAGUACUUUUGCCAGAAUAGACGCAACCAAAAUUCUAUGGGAUCUGUAGUUCCUAGUUCAUGCAGAAGCGACCGAAUGCUUCCUGCAACUCAGGCAGAUAGAACCUUGGUUGAUUCGUUUUUCUUCAUCUGAAAUUCUACCUAAUGCCUAUCCUCUUAAUUGGUUUAAAUUCUUCUUUUUUUUCUUUGAAUUGUUGAUUUAUAAUGUCUUGUAUGCAACAUUUAUAAUUUCGGAUGAUGAUAAUCUUGUUUAAGAAGAGAUUUCUAGUUACGGCAGCAGCGUUCUUGAUCAUGGCAUCACAAGCACGUGCUCUGGUUUGCUUAGUUUCCUUUUUGUCUCUGAUAUUUUCUUGGCAUUGUGGGAUAUUGUUUCUCUUUUGAUUUUCUGUUUUUGUUUGCUUAGUUUCCUUUUUAUGUCUGAUAUUUUCUUGGCAUUCUUGUUCUCUCUUAUAAUAAAGUGCUUUUGAUAAAUUCGCCUGGUCGGUUUACUUCACUAACCAUUAAUGAGCAAAUCCUCCCAGUGACUCUCAAACUCUUCUACACAAUUAUAAUAAUUUCAGUUUUACAUAUACAAAAAUGAACAGCUCUCAAACAUAUCAUUUGAUAAUGACAAAAACAAUAAUUCACUCCAAUAAAUCUCAUAAUAAAUACAUGAUCUACAUUGCAAGUCUUUUUAGGACGCAUUCAAAGAGAAAACAUAAGGAAUGGCAAUGCAAGAAUAUGGAAUCAGAAUAACAGUGAUACAAAGAGAAAAAAAAAGGGGAUGGUCGGGUUGGGUUGCUUGCAAAAUUAUUGGUGCGGGGGUCUACUUGUUUUUGUGUCACUUUAUUAAUUAAUUACCGAAGCAAACACGUCAUCAUUUGAAAAAGAAUCACUAGCACCAGCUUAUGAAAAAUAAAUUUGUAAGACAUAUUAAUUUGAAAAUAUUUUGGAAUUUCAGUCUAAGUUGAUUUGUCUAAUUAUGUAUGCACAAACUAGCUUGACCACUUCUUUCAUAUUGAUACCUAUAAAUUGCAACCUUAUUUUACGUUGAUGCACAAUCUAACUUAACAAAAAAAAUAUUCAAAUUGUCACAAAAUAUUUUCUUCUUAAUAUAUAUAUAUAUAUAUAUACAUACACACAGUAGUUAAUUUUCCUUAUUCUUCACUCCAGGAUCCAGCUGCAUACCCCUCUUUUUUGUCGUUAUGUUGCUCAACCGUUAGAUUUUAAUAACGUUAAUCUAACGGUUGAGAUUUGUAAAUGAAUAAUGAAGUGGUGUUUGGCUACUAUCUGAAAAUAUCGGCAGCCAUCGACGGCGAAUCUGAACAAAGGCAACAGGAGGUGAUCGUGGUGAAAUUGUUUUUUGGCAUGCGAAUCUAACGACUUUCAAAUACGUUCAUUCAAAUAUUAAAUGCAAUUCAGGCAAAUAGAAACUUGGUUGAUUGAUUGCUUUUCAUGUGAAAUUCUACCUAAGGGCUAUCCUUUUAAUGGUUUGUACUGUCUUAUAUGCAAAUUAAAUUCGGAAUUCGGGUGAUAAUAAUCUUGAUUUAGAACAGAUUAGGUAACAUGUGGCAUUCUACAUUCUUGCAAUGCCAUUUCUUUUUAUGGCAGCACCAUUUUUUAUCAUUGUUUGUGUGGACCUAUUUGCUGAAUUCAAAACUUGGCGUGUUAAAACGGCAUCGUUUUGUCCAUUAAGAUGUUUCAAGUUGUCCCCGGCUGGACAUAUGACUCACUUAAUGAUACCAAAACGGCGAGGCAUGAAGGUGUUUCGGCUAAGGGCUUAAGUUCUGCAUGUGACAAGCACGUGAGAGAAGAAUCAAGUUAGUUAUAAGUUGUUAUACACGUGGCUGGAUCUGGUGCAAUCUGGGGUAAUGAACAGCCGUUAUAUAAGCUGAGCUUUCAGGCAGUUUCAGCAAGAUGUAAAGAGCUUCUAGAGAGAAUGAAGAGAGAGAAAAUGUAUCAUCUUAUUCCUUGUUAGUUUCUCCGUGUGAGCUCUGUAAAAUACUUUGAUUCAUAAAUAAAACUCAUUUUAGUCGAUUCUCCCUUGGAUGUAUGUUCUGCCUCAUUGCACAGCCGAACCACGUAAACAGUGCUGGUUUCUUUUUUUUUCAUUUGUGUCUAUCACUAAAAAGCAGAGCACUUGCUUGAUUGAAUAAUGUCAUAUUACAUCACAUAAACUCUCUCAAUUAUUGAAAAAGAAAAUCGUAAAAGAGAUGUGUUGAAUUGAUAACUGAAAAAAUCUUAAAAAAUCUUCAAAGUUUUCAAUUAUUGAUAACUGAAAAUUAUUGAAAAAAAAAAUCUUAAAAGAGAUGUGUUGAAUUGUGAAAUUAAAACUGAGUUUCAGACAUUUCUGACAUGUCGGUUUAUAUUCUUGAUUGUGCAUGCCCUGUCGGUUGCUUGAUGAAACAGGAGAAUAUUGACAUCUGUGUAUUAUCGUUUACUUCCUGCAAUUAAAUCACAUGUUGUUCACGUGAUUCCAUUUGCUCUAUGCGGCACAUUUGGCAGUCGUUUAGGUCACUUACUGAAGCACGGGUUAAGUACUUGAUUCAAGGUUGUUAACUGACCUUUACAAGGCGGGAAAAACAAACCCGGAAUGCAGCUAGUGAGUGGGGGACUUUUCUAGACUCUUCAUGAUAUGUAUAUAUAGUCUUAGAGGCUAUAGUUGAGACAUAUGAAAAGCUUGUAACUUCUUCUUAAUGUUUGUAGUUUGAUCUCGGUGAUGGAGAUAAGAUUGCUGCCCUGUUCUCCAGGCCGAACCACUUAAAAUGUGCCUCUGUUUUGCUUGAUGACUACCAGUGGUGAGAAAACAGCUACAGAACAAAUCAAGCUUGAUGACUCAAAUAUUAGGGAAGCCAUAGUCAAGGCAUCUGGUUUAUGCAUCAACAGUGGUUCGUGGACUAGAAUUCUUAGCUAUUGCCGCUUCACAAUUGCACUGGAAGAAAGCGAAUUUGAUCGAGCUUUGGAUCGCAUAGCUAAAUUCAAAAGCAUCGUACAAAUAGUUAACUCAAAAACGGUAUUGUCAUUUGUCAUGAUUUAUUUCUAUUGCCUGAUGAUGAUACCCAUCACGCCUUAGUUGUCGUGAAUAAAUCUAAAAUCAAAUUGAACUGGCUUUUACUGGUUAGCAACAUUUGUGACGUUUUGAGAUUAUAAUAUAUGACAACACUGAUUAGUGUUGUCUCCCAUGUGAAUUGAGACAAAAAUUAUUUUCCCAAUUGCGCUUUCAUUUGAACAAUUCCACUGUAGAUUUAUAAAAUAAUGAUCAAAUUGUGUUUUAUAUUAAGUUACGAGUAAUUGGUUAAAUAUUAAUACAAAACUAUUUUAAGUAACAUGUGGCAUAUUCUAAUUCUAGCCAAGCUUCCAACUAAGAUUCCCAAAUCAAAAGAAUUUCAAUCUUCAGAACAUUCUGCAAAACGUUUAGUUUCUACGCAGUGCUAGAAUUUUCCCUAAGUUUCUAUCGCAAAGACUUCUAAAGAACUAUUCAGAUAUCGAGCUAUAAUCCAGUCUAAAGUGUAUAUAUCCCUCUAAUUCACCUCCCUCCAUUUCACCAGAAAAUCAACAAACACUUAGCUUCAAACAAACACUCUAAAAAAGCUAGCUAGCUAUUCAGAUGGCAAAACCAAGAAUUCUUGCAAUGACAAUGUUGUUUCUUGUUAUGGCAGCAACAUUGAUGAACAUGGCAUCGCAAGCAAACGCUCUGAUGUCGUACACACAAUCACCUUUCAGGGUUCUUGAACAAACCCCUUUAACAAUCGCAAAACGAGCUGAUCAUCAUCAAACUCUAGCCCCGGCGAGAACAGACUAGAUGGAGACACCAACAGCCCACGUGAUCACGCUCGACAUUCCAGGGAUGAAGAAAGAUAAUGUAAAGAUUGAAGUUGAAGAGAACAGAGUACUGAGAGUGAGUGGGGAGAGGAAGAGUAAUGAUUAUUACAAGGAGGGAGUUGAAGGAGAGAAAUGGCACAGAGCUGAGAGGACAUUUGGCAAGUUUUGGAGGCAGUUUAGGAUGCAUAUGAGUGCUGACUUGGAUCAUAUUAAGGCUCACAUGGAAAAUGGGAUUCUGAGGGUCACAGUGCCAACGCUUGCUGAGGAGAAGAAGAGGCAGCCUAAGGUUAUUAACAUUGAUGAAGAGUCUGGUAAUUCUUCCAAUGAAGAUAUUAAGGCUACCAAGGCUCAAAUGUAAUUGAUUAAAGAAAGAAGUGAUUGCUUUGCUUGAUGUGCUAUUUGUUUAUGAUCUUUUCUUGGUUUUGUUGUGAGAUGUUUCUAUUUGGAUGCUCUAUUUAAUGUAUUUUGAUGGGUUUUUGAGGAAGGCUUGUAUGUAUUGACAACAAUAAAGUGCUUUUUAUAAAUCCUAGUCCUCCAACACUAAAAGAAAUUAAUACGCUUGGUUUAUAGUUAAUAAAAAUAUAUAUAUUUUUAAAAAAAGUCUUUUUCUUUGGCAUAUAGUAUGCGUUUUGAGGGAAAAAAAAUUAUCCCACUCCUAAUUCGUCCUCUUCUGCGAUAUUAAUGUGUUAACACGAAGAUUCAUUGUAAUUGCAACAAUUUUGACGAAUCCAAACGUUCAAUAACUGUUAAAUUGUAUUUAUAAAUACUAAUAGCGAAGGUACAGAAACGAUUAAUUCACGAAGUUGCUUAAAGUGCAUUAAAUUAGAGAGUAUAAAUAAUUGUGUGAUACAGUCCAGCCUUCAUCUGCUUAUAAUUAGCAACCAAAAACCACUUUGCAACACCAUUAAAAAAACAUUUUAACAUUAUUGCUGAGGGAAGAGGCAGCUUAGGCUUAUUAACUCGUAUUAUUAAUGCUGAUGACGCAGCUGGUAAUCCUUUUGGUGAAUAUAUUAAGGCAGCUGAAGCUUAAAAUUAAUUAAGCCCACUAAAGCUUAAAACUAAUUCUUCUGGUGACGAUACUUUGCUUAGUUCGCUUUUUGUUUUUAAUUUUUUUGGGGCUAACGUUUUGCUUAUUUUGCUUUUAAAAUUCUAUUCGCGUUGCUGUGGAAUAUUGUUUCUCCUUCGAUUUUCUGUUUUUGUUGUUAUCGGAUUUGAUGAUGGUUUAUAUGUACGAAGAUUAUGUAAUAAAGUGCUUUUGUAAAAAUACUAAGGUAAUAUACAUUACACAUUUGUACUCAAUAAGAAAUCAAUUCAUUAAUAUAAGCAUUAAUACCCCUGGUUUAUUGUUAAUGAAAAUUAAAAAAGAAAAAAAAAAGUCUUUUUCUUUGGCCUUUAUUAUGGAUUUUAAGAGGAAAAAAAUUUAUCCCACUCCAAUUCAUGAAGAUAUUCUCUUUUCUGUCAUAAAGAUCCAUUGCAGUUGGUGAAUUCAAAUAUUCAGUAACUGAUGAAAUUGUAUUUAUAAAUUCAUACUAAUAGCAAUUGAAGAUUAUAAUUAAUUUUGUAAUAUGAUCUAGCCCUCGUGUGUUUAAUUAGCACUCAAAAACCACUUUACAUAAAUGAGGUUUCAACAGCUGAGAAAGAGAUAGCCAUUAUACAUUACACAUUUGCACUUAAUAAGAAAUCAAUUCAUUAAUAUAGCCAUUAAUACGCCUGGUUUAUUGUUAAUGAAAAUUAAAAGAGAAAAAAAAAGGUCUUUUUCUUUGGCCUUUAUUAUGCAUUUUAAGAGGAAAAAAAUUUAUCCCACUCCAAUUCAUGAAGAUAUUCUCGUUUCUGUCAUAUUGAUGUGUUAAUAUGAAGAUCCAUUGCAGUUGGUGAAUUCAAAUAUUCAGUAACUGAUGAAAUGGUAUUUAUUUAUAAAUUCAUACUAAUAGCGAUUGAAGAUUAUAAUUAAUUUUGUAAUAUGGUCAAGCCCUCGUGUGUUUAAUUAGCACUCAAAAACCGCAUUACAAUAGGCAUUAAAAGAACAUUAUAACGUCAUUGCUGAUGAGUUCUGGUGAAGAUAUUAAGUUAAGGCCACAAAAAUCGAAAUGUACGUAGCUUCGUUUGUUUUUUGUUUUUGAUUUUUUUUGGGGGGCAAAUGCUUGGCUUCGUUUGCUUUUUCGUUUUUGAUAUUUUAUUGGCUUUAUUGUGUGGCAUGUUCUUGUUUUCUUUUGAUUUUCUGUUUUGGUUGUUAUGGGAUUUGAUGACGAUGUACAUGUACAAAGAUUAUGUAAUAAAAUGCUUUUGAUAAAUUGUGGAACAAAAGAAGAACACUAACGAACUAAUUAAUUACUAAUAAGAACAUUAACAAUUUUUGCCGAAGUCUGAUGAAGAGAAAUAUUACACAUAAGUAACGGUACCGCGGAAGGAAAAAAUAAAAGAAACUAAAGUUUAUUUCAACAGCUAAGAAUGAAAUAGGCAUAAGAAAUUAACCCAUCAAUUAAUUAAUUAAUACAGUCCCCUGCUACUAAAUAAUGCGAGCCCCUUACUGUACUUAACAUUUUUCUUUUUAAUAAUUUAAAACAGUUUUCAACUGAGAUUUGAAUUUUAAAACUACAUACACAAAUACACCUGAUUUUAAAGAAAAAAAAUUUCUAAUAAUAAAAUAUUUUACAUAUAUAACCAUAUGGCGAAAAAAUAAAUAUAAGAAACUGAAGUUUCAACAACUGAGAAUGAGAUAGGCAUAAGAAAUUAAUUCAUUAAUUAAUUAAUAGAGUCCUCCUUUGCUAAGCUAAAUAAUGCGAGCCCAUUGUUCUUUUUAUUUCGAAAACCCAUUAAUCACCAACACAUAAUACACGCCCAACUUUUUUUUUAAAAAAAACCUAAUAAUAAAAUAUUUCAGUCGUCCUCUGUUGAGUCGUCCUCUGUUGAGUCGUCAUAAAAAACCCAUUUACCAGCUAUGACAGCAAGAGGAAUAUGGGUUAACAAGUCCCAAUAUUGUCCUCCAUCCUUUCUGCACUUCUUUUCUAUCAACGGACAAUCCACGAUUCUUAAUUGCAAAAGUGAGGAAGGCAGGCCCUUCUCCGGAAAGUAUUUGAGCUUGGGACAAUGAUAGAGACCCAAGUGAGUGAGGUUUUGAAGAUCAACAAUUGAAGAAGAUAGGCGUUCCAGAUUUGGAAAAUUGUAAAUCCACAGAGAUGUUAGAGAGGCAGGAAGAGGAAGCGCGGUCCCUAAUCUUUUGUCCUCUAGUGGAAAUGACACCAUGUCGUCAUCGCAUCCUAUGAUUUCAAGAUGUCGCAGACAGGAGAAUCUGUGAAAUCCCCGGCCCCGCUCAAUCAUUGACUUCCAAAUCUCCAUAUUACCCUCAAUCCAAAGUGAAUGAAGGUUGAUGGGAAGGCCAUCUUCUUCUUCAAGGCUUGGAAGCUCACCUCCUUUUCCUAUUGUUAAUUGUUGAAGAGAGGUCAGAUUGUGCAAUCCCUUGGGUAAGGCCUCUAGUCUCUUACAAUCAAGUAUCGUCAGCCUCGUGAGUUUCGCACAAGGGAAUGCCCCUUGGGGAAAGGACACUAGAUUUCCACAAUACGCUAUGCUAAUCUCUUGAAGCUGGCGGAGAUUAUGUAAACCACUCGGUAAAAUUUUCAGAUUUCCACAAUUAGAAAUGUCGAUUGUUUCAAGAGAUGUGUUGUUGUCCAACCUUUCUGCUAUUGACUCCAGCUUUGAACAUCCGCGAACAGAAAGGGACUUAAGAGACGGAGGUAGAUUGCCAACUUCAAGGGACUCAAGCGUGGCAGGUAACUCAUUUUUUGAAAAUAUACAUGUCAGUGAUGGACAGCUGUUAAUACGCAACUGCUCAAGAAGAGAUGAGGUGUACCUUCUAUUGCUGCUGCUGCUGCUACACUGGAUGCCCUCUUCCACUGUCAAAGUCCUUAUAUUACUGCAAUUGUUAAUCACCAACUGCUUAAGGCUCGGUGGUAGCUGGACUCCAGCAAUAUAUGUCAACGAAUGGCAAAAGCAAAUCUCCAAGAUCUCGAGAGAUGAAUUGGUGUCGCACAUCCAUGCCUCUGGUAAUGAUUUCAGUGCAUCACAUUCCCUAAUCUCAAUUGUCUUCAACUUGGAAGGCAGAGCAACCUCAGGAAAGGAAACAAGGGAACUGCACUUGUAGAUUUCUAUCUCUCUCAAGGAACUGAGACUGAGAGAUGAUUGUGGCAGCUUCACAAGGCCUUCGCAAUAUCUCAAUCUUAGAUAUUCGAGUCUGCAUGACAACUCGCAGAGCUGCUGUUGUUGGCCUUUCUCUUCCUCCGCCACCAAGGAUUGAAGUUUGGGACACCGUCUAAUCGUCAGUCUUCUGAGAGAGCAAAUGUCUUGCAGUAAUUCGUUAUGACUCUUCCAUAUAUAUGUCUGCUCUUUCAUUUCAUUUAUCUUCAAUUCUUCCAAUUUUGGUAGUCGCGGCUUUAAUGGCCCUGCGAGAAACACUUGAUUUGAUCUAUCUCUACAAACCACUGAAUUCUGUGAGCCGAGAUGAUCAGUUGCACUUCUCCACACAACCUUUUUACAUCCACCACUCUGUAAUUUGCAAAGAGCUGGAAGACUCGAAACUGAAACUGACAAUUCUUCACAUCCUUUAAUAACAAGCUUCUCCAAUGCAGGAAGGCGUUCUGGAAAUGUUCCUUGCAGCUUAGAACAUCUUAAAAUGUGAAGCUCUCUCAAUUUAGGAAACCGUUCAACUCCCUGACUGGAUCCAUGAGGAAUCCAGUCUUCCCAUCCUUGCAUGUCUUCAAAAUGAAGAGUCUCCAAGCAUGGAAAAGGAAUUGGAGUAUCAUUCCCAUAGAACUCUGAACCCAACCUCUUUACACUAGUCAUUCCACAUACUGCAAGAUGCUUUAGAGAGGGUAGUUGCCCGACUGACGGCAGGGUAGGACACAUGCCACAAUAUUCAAAUUUUAAGGUCACCAACUUUGAGAAUGAGGAAUCUCCGAACCAAGUUGGAAAUUUUGCACCUCUAUAGCCGCUGAUACAAAAUUGUUCCAAAUUUUUAUUGGGUUCUAGCAUGUCAAGCACGUCCUUUUCAAUUUCCGCCUCCCUUGAAGACGAGCCAUCGGUACUGAGUGUCCAUCGAAGCAAUAAUUCUCUAAGAUUCUUCUUUCCAUCCAAUUGAGCCUCCUUUGCAUCACCAACGUCUUUUACAUUCUCCAAUUUUGAAAUGUUAAGUGUCCCAUGAAGGUGCGUCAACAACUUUAGCUCUCGUAACCCGGAACCACUGCCUUUUCCCACAACAAAAUUACACAACGUCUGAAGACUAGUCAACCUACCAAUUCCUACUGGCAUUUCCUCCAACGACUUCGUAUUUGAAUUCUUAAGAUGAUGCAAUUUGGCGAGGUUUCCCAUGUCUGCACACAACUUCUUCAGCCGAUCACAAUCUUCCAACAAAAGACUAUGCAAAUUGUAAAGCUUGUUGACUGAUUCAGGCAGAGUUCUAAUCUCAGUUGUAGACAGGUUAAGGUACCUUAAAUACCUCAAAUCACCAAUUGAAUCCGGCAGCUCAGGGAUGCAGUAUCCACGCAAAGAGAAGACCCUCAAGCGUCGGAGUUUGAGCAACUUAGGAAGAAUGCUAGGAGCCAAGAAGCCAGGCGAACUUUUUGUCAACAUUACUGGUAAAAAAGUUCUCAAAUGCUGGAUAUCAUACAAGUCCCCAAACCUUUUACCGCCAUCAAAAUAUUCAGGAAUGUAUGAUAGAUGACGAAGAUUUUCGGAAAAACUUUGCUGCUUGUAAAUUUCUGAGGUAUACUCCAUUGUGAAGUAUAUCUCCCCCGCAGCCCAACGGGCAAGGUCAUUGAUAAGAUCGUGCAUCACAAAUCGUGAUGUAUUGUUGCUUAAUUGCUGGAAAAAAGAUCUUGAACGUAG